GCACGUGUUGGCCGUACCGCCGGCGGCGCACGCUGGCAAGGUCAAGCAAUCUGGGUCUGCAACGCGGGCGCCCGGACGCAGACGGUGUGCGGGUGCUGACGGGGUGGUAGAGCGUCGGGAGCUUGGGGACAUGCGAUGGUGCGUGUGCGAUGCACCAUGAGACAGGACAAGGGCACGGAACAAGGGGCAGGAAUGCAGGAUGGCGUAGUGCGGCGUAGUCCCUUCCUAUCAUUGGCAGCGCAUUCCCAAACCCUACCUAGGAUUCAACAACCAAGGUGCGACGGCAAGGCGUGAGCGCGCGGCUGGUCGAACGCCGGAGUUACUGUGCCGAAGAGUCAUCGCUGGCAGGCUGGCAGUUUGCUGCUGACGCGCAUGCCUCACGCCGGCUCCGGCAGGUGCCGGGCCACGCAAUAAUGUCGAACGAAGUUAGGGAGCUGGGAUUGAAUGAUGGGGAGAGCCCGUAGAGGGCUGGGACUGAUCGUUGAUGUGGUUAGCGAACUGCAAGGAAGUUGAAACGGGACACCGACCUCAUGCCCGCGGGGACCGUACGUUGGUCAUGAUGGCGGUUGUGCUGGAAGGAUGGAGGUGAGAACGUGACGACAUCCUGCACCAACGCGUGAGGAGGAAGGGUUUUGAGCGAGUUCGGAGUGUUUGCAGUUACUAAUACUAUGGAUGCUGGUGGGGACUGAGCGGGCAUGACGGCGCAGGUGGUGGAUGUCACAAGUGUAUUGCGGAUGCCUCGGUCAUUCCACACCCGCCCUGACGUGUCAAGACAUCCCACUCGAGCUGUGGGAGCCACGAGGCCGCAGCCUACCUCGCAACUCGCGGGCGACUGCUAGUAAGCUGGAGUCAAACUUGGGGUUAUGGACAGCGCUCGUAUCUUCCUUCGUUCGGAACGAAAUUUGCCCAAAAAGGCCUCUGGCGGACGAAAUUUUUGUGAUCUUGGCUUGGAAUUUCGGCCAAAACGCACUGGAUCUUGGGGGGUCUUUCGGCAAACAGACGAAGACAUUUUGGGGAUUUCGGCCACUUGUGGCCAAGGACAGGGGGUUCCAGCGGCUACUCCACGGCCGAAACCUGCGUGUCAUAUGGUAAGAAGGCUCAAAGGGCUGUAUCUAUGGGUGUUGACGGCGGGAGACAGGGGUUCCCCUGGCGGGAGAGUGAGGUUGGGUCGGCGGGAAGCAGGGGAGGAGUGGGCGUGUCGUGUCGGUGUCGACAUCGUGCGGGUCGUCAACUGAACGAAGCCAUUUUAAGGAAUUCGGCCACUGGCGCCGCCCCUGCCUUCGUAAGAUACGAGCACUGGUUAUGGAUACUUGCAGGGCAUAUGGCUUGUCAGUAAGGCGCAGCUGCAUGCAAAGCACCGGUCUGCAGACCGAACGUAUGAAGCCAUGUCGGUGCCCUGCUGGGCCGUGGGCGCCCAGUCAUGCUAGGUCUGCUCUGCCCUACGCUUCGGUCCCCCAGCGAGCCCCAUGUCUGCCGCAUCCCCUUACAUCAUGAUAUCGUCCCCAACCUGACGCUUGCGGGGCACGCCCCAUGGACCGCUUCGCUGUCCGCUAGUGGGAAGGGGGGGAGAAGGGGCGGCACCAACACCUGCCUGUGAUUUCAGCAUCCACCGGCGAUAUCAUGCAUGCUGGUCCCCUUGCUAGAGAAAUACAAUGAUUUAGAGCAUAGCCAUUUGCGUCAGUCAAGCGCCUCAGGCGCAGCAGGUGCGCUUGCACCCUUACUUCCGGAAACUCAUAUUCUCGAACAACCUCACAAUGGGAAAUAAAGCUUCUCAUUUCUCCAAGACCGUAGAUACGCUGCCUGGUUUAACGUUGGACGAGAAGGCGAAGGCUCGGGUGUUAUACGGCACUCGGCCAGGCUUUGCGGAGCAUGCUGAUGUGUUUAUUUCAGGCAAUCGCGAGGUAGCCGCAAGAUCAAUCAAGUUGUUGGUUGCAGGUGAUUUCUGACGUGUACGCGACAUUGUGCGCCCCUGUUCCUGCGCCUUAGGCAGUUGCUGUGCUCGUAACUCGCGAAUUCUAAGCCGCCAGCUGCAUUUUGGAGCACCAGCAUGUUAGUUUGUUCUGUGGUGCCAUGCUAGCACCUCCCUCAUGUGCAGAGGCGGCAGCAGUGCCUUCCGCAGGUACGCAGGGGGUGCCGCCCAAACUCAACACGCCUGAGAGCGUGCUGUGCGUGCGUGAUGCUCACCCGUGUGUUUGAAUGGCUGGGAUCCCUUCUCCCGCAGAGGCCGACGCGGCACGCCAGGCGCGCGAGGCGGCCCGUUCCACGACACGCGGUCAGGACCUGCCGACGCGGCUGCGGAAGUCCAAGUCGUUUUCAAGUGUGAACUCCUCCGAUGUGAACACUCUGAUAAGCAGCGUCAAUUUGACUCGUGUCCGCGGCGAGGCGCUGGCGCCAGAGGACCUGCAGCUGCCCCCGGACACACCCGAAUGCAGCAGCCUUGUCUGACAAUCCGCAGCCGCCACCGCAACACCAGCAGCCGCACCAACACGUAAGCUUAAGCAGCAGGCGCUAGCGUAGGGUCUGAAGGUUCCUAUCCACUGCCGAUCCAGCUGCAGCAGCUGCAGGCCCAGCAUACCGCGCGGUUUCCGCGGUUGCUGUACCGGCCGGAGCUGUUCGAGGCUGAGGCGCUGGCCAACGUCCACAGCUGCCUGUUGGCGGGGUAGUAGUACGAGACCACGGCGCACACCCUGGCCUGCGCGCUGCUGCAGCUGGGGCAGCGGCAGCAGGUGAGGACACGGGGAGGGGGGACGAGGGAAGAGGGGAGGGGGGAAGGGGGAAGAGGGGAGGGGGGACGAGGGGAGAGGGGAAGAGGGGGAAGGGGGAGGAGGGGAAAGGGGGACAGGAGGAAGGAGGGACAGGAAGGCAGGGGUAGAAGAUAGGAGAGAGAGGCGGAGAGUGCGGUGAGCAGACAAGGGGAGGUGGCAUGCUGGCGGUCCGGGCGCCAAGUGCGGUCGCCGUCAGUAACGCGAUCCCACUUCGUCUCGCUCAGUUGCAGGAUGCGAUGCAAGUAAGACGGUGUGGCGCGUAUUGCCAACGACCGGCGCACAUGCCGGCGCCUCAACCGCACCGCCUGCAGCUUUCGCAUCACUUGCAGCACCUGGUGGAGGUGGCGACGGAAGCGUUGGCGCGGGGGGUGCUGUCGGGGCUUCAGCGGCCAGCGGUCUGGCGCUGCUGGGCGCGAUGGUCUAGGAGACGUACGCUGCGCGUGUGCCCGCCCGUGGUGGUGUCGGACCCCCGUGGCAUCACCGUGCGCCGGCUGCCACCGGUGUGGCAGUGGGGGGCCGCUGCCGGCGGCGGCUGCUGCUGGCUGGCGGCUGCUGCUGCUGGCAGCGGCUACUGUGGCGGCGGCUGCGGCGGCUACUGCUGGCGGUGGCGGCUGCUGCUGGCGGUGGCGGCUGCUGCUGGCGGCGGCUGCGGCGGCGGCGGCGGCUGCUGCUGGCGGCGGCUGCAGCGGCUACUGCUGGCGGCGGCUGCAGCGGCUACUGCUGGCGGCGGCUGCAGCGGCUGCUGCUGGCGGCGGCGGGCGUGUAUGGGGGCAGGCAGUUGUACAACGAGGAUACACGUGUGAUGCUGGCUGGGUGAGCGGCGCGCUGUUCCGGUCGCCGCUGUGCACGUGGUGUGGUGUGCAUGUCGCUCGUGGCGGCGGGCGGCGUGGCUAGAUGAUAGGGCGAUGCCAUGCGUUGAUGGCUAAGUGUAGGCAGGCGCCGGCUGCAUGAGGACUUCUUGUGUGUGGGCGGAAGUGUGGGCGUUCUACGACACACAAGCAUAAAACCCUGCGGACGGCGCCCUGGGGCAUCUAGAUGUGUCUUUAUCUGACGAUCCUACUACAUGGGCGCCUGUGCCGUGAUGCACGCAGCUGCGCACGCUCUUCAAAGACGGGGCGAGCUGGCUUCUGGUGGCGGCGUGUUUCUGCGUACUCAUGCGAGCAUUCUUCAUGAAGGACCCCAUCAUGGCUGGGGUGUUGCUCCUGCCCAUCGUCAGGUUCACUGACGUCAUCUCAGAUAUCAUCUCAUUGAUGCUGAUUGCGCUGCGGUCCAAGCUGCGAGAUGAGUACGAGAUUCAGUGGGACACACGUAUCUGUUGGCCGUACCGCCGGCGGCGCACGCUGGCAAGGUCAAGCAAUCUGGGUCUGCAACGCGGGCGCCCGGACGCAGACGGUGUGCGGGUGCUGACGGGGUGGCAGAGCGUCGGGAGCUUGGGGACAUGCGAUGGUGCGUGUGUGGUGCACCAUGGGACAGGACAAGGGCACGGAACAAGGGGCAGGAAUGCAGGAUGGCGUAGUGUGGCGUAGUCCCUACCUAUCAUUGGCAGCGCAUUCCCAAACCCUACCUAGGAUUCAACAACCAAGGUGCGACGGCAAGGCGUGAGCGCGCGGCUGGUCGAACGCCGGAGUUACUGUGCCGAAGAGUCAUCGCUGGCAGGCUGGCAGUUUGCUGCUGACGCGCAUGCCUCACGCCUGGCUCGUGAACUGCGUCAGCAGGUCCCUCUUGUAACCAAUGCAAUCUCACGCCGGCUCCGGGCCUCCGGCAGGUGCCGGGCCACGCAAUGAUGUCGAACGAAGUUAGGGAGCUGGGACUGAAUGAUGGGGAGAGCCCGUAGAGGGCUGGGACUGAUCGUUGAUGUGGUUAGCGAACUGCAAGGAAGUUGAAACGGGACACAGACCACAUGCCCGCGGGGACCGUACGUUGGUCAUGAUGGCGGUUGUGCUGGAAGGAUGGAGGUGAGAACGUGACGACGUCCUGCACCAACGCGUGAGGAGGAAGGGUUUUGAGCGAGUUCGGAGUGUUUGCAGUUACUAAUACGGGGGUACUAUGGAUGCUGGUGGGGACUGAGCGGGCACAACGGCCCAGGUGGUGGAUGUCACCACAGAGUAUUGCGGGAUGCCUCGGUCAUUCCAGUCACUGCCAACCUAAGCGCAGGCGAAACAACUACGGUAAACAUCGCUGACCCGCCCUGACGUGUAAAGACAUCCAACUCGAGCUGUGGGAGCCACGAGGCCGCAGCCUACCUACCUCGCAACUCGCGAGCGACUGCUAGUAAGCUGGAGUCAGACUUGGGGUUAUGGAUACUUGCAGCGCAUAUGGCUUGUCAGUAAGGCGCGGGGGGUGCUGGGGGGUGGGUGGGGGUGGAACAGGGGCCUGGCCGCUCCGAGACCUGCUGAACGAGACGAAAUUCGAGACAUGUUGCAUUAUUCCAGCGCAAAAGCAAUAUAUGAUGGAUUGACCCAAGACGAGCAAAUGCCGAUAAGCCGAUGAAGAGUCGUCGGGCAGUGCCAUGACAGCUCAGAACUGAUUUCACCACCGCCCACGUUGUGCCCUCUCCACACGGGCCCGAGGCAUUGCAGCCGUUUCAUACUAUCGAUACACAUCGCUUAGGUAGCGUGCACACAAAUAAACCUAACUGCUUUCAAGAUGGCCGCGAUGUUGCGCUCGCGCGCCUACGUGGCGCACCAUGGAUAUCAGCGGCAGCUGCGCGUCUGUACACCCACCAGGCAUGUGGCGCACGCCGGCUUCGCGGAGGGCGCCGCGGAAGCGGUGAGGGCGCCGGUGCAUUUGGCGCGUUGUAGAGCGGCUGAGACCUAGGCUGAGACCUGGCCUGAGACCGGCAACGGCUACCUUAUUAUUUGCUUGACAGGGGUUGGGCCAUCAGUCGAGAGGCCCCGACGCUUUUCUGCAUGGCAAAAUUCAGAUGCUGUUUGCCGCGGCGGUCACUAAUAACACGGUUGAUGGUGACGCCUGCUGCAGACUGGCGCGCCAAACACGCAGCCGGAGGUAAGCCUGCUUCCAGUCGCGGCGUGUGCACAGCCGGUAUAAAGGGCGGGGUUGAUGAAAGGCCACAGGCGUGCAGCGCUGCCCAGCGGGAGGGGCCUAGAUUACAAGAGGGACCUGCUGACGCAGUUCACGAGCCAGUGACGUGGAGAACGAACACCCUGCUCUGGACCCCAGGGGCGUGCCGCCUGCAACUCCCGCCACACCGAACAUGUUACUAGGUGCCAUCACUCCUCUUCCAUUCCUAGUGGCCGGUAUCGCCUGUGAUGCAAGUUUAUUUCCUACAGGGCUUUAUUUCAUCUUCCAGUGGCAGGCUGCCGCCGCUGGCGAGAAGGGCCCGGACCGCGUUCAUUCUUGCCCACGGCAUCCAGGGGCCCAUGCAUGGGCCAAAGAUGCCUGCACGCACCCCGCCCCAGCAACGCCCGUUCUUUCUCGCAUGAGGGCGGCCUGUACUGAUUGGGGUAUUGGCUGUUUCUCGCCGCACCCCAAAGAUGUAAGCUCUGGUUUGCUCACUGCCCCUUUGCAGGCCGCCGAGGAGGUAGCCCAGCUGCGGACCAAGCUGGCGGCAGCCGAGGUACGUCCAUGUCAGGCCGUGUCCACACAUCACACACACACACGCAUAAGGCAGCCGACAAGUUGCAACUCGGCAGUUGGGUGACCUCUUGGGCGUUGGGCUGCAUUACUUUAGAACUGGGGCAGCGAUAUGUACGUAGUGCGUGGCACCGCAAGCAGCUAAGCGCACCAGGCGCUGUGAGCGAGCGGCCGCCAGGCAGAGCGAGGCAGGCAAGCACCUUAGCACCUCCCACCGCCGUGCAGUGCGUGGCGGCUCACGGGCUCCCACUCAUCAUCACCGGUGAAUGGGAGACCCAGCAAAGGCCACGAGUGCGCCUGCGUGGGGCUUCCUUCUUUCGCGUGGGCGCGCGGCGGCUUUGUGGCAGCUAGUUCCUGGUGUGCAUCGUUGCUGCUUGCCCGACUGCAGGCCAAGUUGGCUCAGGCGACAGCGCAGGCCAAGCUGGCUCAGGCGACCUCGCUAAAGACCAAGGUGCGUGGGCUUUGUAGGGGCCGCUGGCAGCGGCACAGCAUUAGGGGUGUGGAGUGGGGCGGGCAGCUAGCAUGCGCUGACAUGCAUGCAUAUCUGAGCGAGGGCGUAUGUACGUAGCGAGGUGGGGUCGAUCGGUUAGCUUAGGAGCACUGGUGAGCAGGGCGCUGAGGCUCAAGGCUGCGUGCGUCAGCAUGUCCGGCCUCAGCACUCCAUAUCGUGCACUGACGCAUUGGCUGUGGUUCCUCGUGCUCAUCGAUAGAUGUCGCACCUAGAGGGUUACACGCUCGCUACUGAUCUUUGCACCCCCUACCUUGUCCAGCCUUGCCCUGUUCCGUCGCCCGCUCUCCUCCUGGUCAUGAUCCCGUGUCACCUGCCACACACGCGCCCAUGUUCACGCAUCAAACCCCCCUCCUGUUUAUUAUUGCGACUAAUGGGCGCGUGUGCCUUGAUGCACGCAGCUACUCGAUCAAUUCAUCCAUGGGGCCUUCUGGCUUCUGGUGGUUGUGAUUUUAUGCGCGGUCAUGGGCGUGAAUGUUUUCAAGCUCUCCGUGGUGCGGACCCCCAUCACAGCUGUGUUCGUGCUGGCUCCCAUCCUCAAGUUCACCAAAGCCAUCGACCGCAUCAUCAUUCUGGUGGUGCGUGCGCUGCGAGCCAAACCGCGAGAUGAGUAAGAGAUUCAGUAGGACGCACGUGUUGGCCGUACCGCCGGCGCACGCUGGCAAGGCCAAGCUAUACUAUCUGGGUCUGCAACGUGGGCGCCCGGACGCAGACGGUGUGCGGGUGGUGACGGUAGGUGUGUGGGUGUCAGAGGUUGGCGGGUGCUGGCGGGGUGGUGCAGGUUAGGGAGCGAGGCAGCGAGCUUAGGGACUGAUUGAUGAUGCAGGAGGCAGGAAUGCAGGAUGGCGUUGUCCCAAUCAUUUGCCGCGUAUUGCAGCGUUGCGACCAUUUGCAGCGUAUUGCAGCGUACUUAUUACUUGCAGACUGCACUAGUCUGUUGACAACCAAGGUGCGACGGCAAGACGUGAGCGCGCGGCUGGUCGAACGCCGGAGUUACUGUGCGUGCCGAAGAGUCGUCGCUGGCAGGCUGGCAGUUUGCUGACGCACAUGCCCCACGCCGGCUCCGGCAGGUGCCGGGCCACGCGAUAGCAUCAGAGUUAGGGAGUUGGAUGGGACUGAAUGAUGGUGAGGGAGCUGGGACUGGUCGUUGAUGUGGUUAUUAGCAGUGGCGGCGGGCUGCAAGGACAACAUUGAGGCGGGACACUGUUGUGUGUGGUUACAAGGUGGUGAGCACGACGUGCAUUCCUGGGACACACUUGGGGACACAGACCACACGCCCGCGGGUACCAUACCGUAUGUCGAUUAUGAUGGCGGUUGUGCUGGAAGGAUGCAGGUGAGGAUGUGAGCUAAGACGUGAAUUCCCGCACGAACGCGUGAGGGGGAGGGGUUUCGAGUUUGGGGUGCUUGCAGUUACUGAUACGGCGGUAUUUUAAAUUCGACAUCACAAGAAAGGACAGUCCGACCAACCAAGGGUGCCUGGCACCCAUGUCAGGAGGGAACCAUCUCCGGCCCGAAGGGAAACCGCCGUAUUAUGGAUGCUGAGCGGGCACGACGGCGCAGGGUAGCAGGUGUCGCAAAAGAUUUACGGAUGUCUCGGACUCUCGAUUAUUCCACGACAUGCUUGGGUGCGAGGCGAUCGUGAACGGAACGGCAGGGGAACGGGGGGAUCAGCAUGAAACAUGGAACUAAGCAGAAGGACACCCAGGGGGGGGGUAAGGAUGCCGCAGACAUACCCCACCCUUCAAAUCGAAAGAGCUUGACGAGAGCGUUCAGAAUCCGCUUUCAGAAUUUUGAUCAGGGUAGUAAUUGCGGAGGUAUGGGCCCCCAAAGUUCAGGGUCGGUCGUCGGUCCCCAGGGUCCCCAAGGUUUCGUCACGGUGUGCCGGAAACUUUCGUCUGGGCCUCAUAAGACAGCAGGGCAAGCCCAGACCGUUGCCCAAAGCAUGUAAUGGAUGCUUGAACAGCUGGGAAACAUCAGGAGCCUAUCAGAAGACGAAGGGCUACCGCCCGUCAACACAUGUCGGGUUGGGAUGUUGGGGUGCGACAUGUCUCGCCUGACCAGAACGUGCCACAAGUCGCGGACCGGUGCUUGCGCGCCGGAGGAAAACGCAUGUAUAUGUCCCAUGCGUAGGUAAGUCUCGUGGGCGUGCUUUACACGGGUGCAACUGAACGGCCGCAAGAUGUUCUCAACAUGUUGACAACAUGGCUGUGGUCAAGACGCGCCCGACGAACUUUCCGUGUUUACAUGUUAAUAGAGCUCGCUGAAAGCAGUCGUUUGGCACCAUCCUGGAAGAAAACAGAGGGGAUUUAGGGGGUGUACGGCACGGUACGGCACGGUCGGUCGUCGGUCAGGGGGGGUCGGGAGGUUUUGCGGGGUGGGGUCUGGAACUAUUGUUCGUACCCCCCCCUGGGACACCGAUGCACCGUUGGAUGAAUUCGGGAUUGGGUGAGACUCCACGGAAAUCAUGGCAGGGCAUCAGCCGCGCUUGGGCGGGCUGUAACUGUAAGGCUGUUCCACUGGCCGCAUGCCUUGUCACCGCCGUGCGCCUACCUCACCUACGCUUGGGGGCCAUUACAAAGCCAGCUUGAGCAGUACACUCGCCAGAUCCUGACGUGUACAGCCUCGCGCCCGCUAUAGCACAUCGGCACCCACCCCGCUAGAUGGAUCACCGCCAACCUUCACCAACUUCCCCAGCCGUCAACCUCAUCCUGCACGGCUGCAUCCCUUGGCAGCGGCGGGAUCAGGGGUUACCGGCCUACGCAGGGGAGAGGGAAUGGUAUGAAACGCGGGAAUUGAACAGCGGGACACGGAUGGCGCGGGUCCAGGGACAAGGUAAAGGCGAGGAGGGAGGCUCGGGAUUGGGCGCGUGUCGCCUGCAUGGGCGCCGAGACCAUGCCCCGCCACCAGAUACCGUAAAAGCUUCGCGCUGUGCUCAUAUUGCGCAUUCAACAGACGCAAAGACAUCUCGCAAAUAGCUUUUACGCCCACUGCUUAGCUACGAGCACCUGAGCUUAUCGACGGCAAAGAAGAGCAUUUCUAGGGCUGUUCGCGACCCCUCUCUAUUUCCACCGCAUGCGCAUAAAAGCUGCGGCAAGCACCACCACUGUCAUGAACUAGCAGCAUCUAGCGCGAAUCCCUCCCGGGCACCGCGAGGAAACUCCAUCAAGCGAAAGAAUUGCGCUAGCAGCAGAAUCAAGUUCUGCGCGCGAAGAGUGCUUGGUGCGGUCAAGAGCUACUAUGGCCACAUCACGGUCAAUCGCAAGUGCACCGGGGCUUGACUUCGGGCCGAGCCGACCGAUGCAGGUGAGGACCAUUCUUGUUCGGGCACGGCCAUUUUAAGCCCUGAGCAGCUGCAAUGUGUAUGAGAUGCCACAUGCAAAGCAUUAGGCUUCUGAUUCCGGCUAGAUAGCGUUGCAAGUUUCGGGCCAGUAGUGCGCUCAGCUUCCUGAGUCCUCCUGAUUGCGCUGCUGCGGCCACACUGGCUGCAGAUUAUUACUGCCAUGUAUUGUCUCGAAAAAUGCGGCCGGUCAACAGCUUUGACCGAAAGCGCGUGCCUUUCCGGUGCGCCUGACUUUUUCGCCAAGGCCCGAGUCCCCGACCUCCAGCCCGCACCUCCAGCCCGCACCUCCUCGACACCCUCCGAACUUGUCCUCGUCCCGUGCACUCACGGCUUGUCCGCCCCCAUCUAUCCUUUUCCCCCCGAUCUCGUUUGCACAGGACGCCUGGCGCCACACGCCCCGCAGCCAAGGCCACGGCUCUGAUGAGAGCGAGCCCUCCGCCGCCGCCCACCAACAGGAGCAGCAGGAGCCCGCCCCCAGCGCCUGCUGCUUUCCCCACAAGUCCUGCAUGCGCUGGUGCUAUGCCAGCCUAUCUGCUGGCUGCAGGAGCGCCCCCUGCCAGCUUUGCCAUGCCUACGACAACCACUGGCGCCCGCAGAAGCCGCCCGGCCUGCCCAAGGUGCCCAAGCUCGCGGCUCCGACCAAGCCCGCCGCUCCGACCAAGCCCGCCGCGGCUGCAAGCCCCAUCUCCAUCUCCAUCUCCACCGUCGACCGCAGCCCGACCACGCCGCGAUGGGGCGAUGAUGAUGAGGAUGAGGCUGACGGACUCGACCUGAGCGACCUCUUUGAGCAGACGCCCUGGAUGAAGCAGGGACUGGCGGAGCUCGCGGCGGCCGAGCAGCAGCAGGCGGAAGCCGCACCGGCCGCGCCCGCGGCAGCGUCAGAGUCUGACGGCAGCAGCAGCAGCAGCAGCAUUGUUCCUUGCGCGAGCAUUAGCAGUAGCGGUGGCGCGAGCGGUAGCUGGGCGGAUGAGGUCGAGGCGCACGAGGAGGCGGAGGCGGAGGAGGAGCUCGACCUCGGGUCGCUCGCAGAUUGGUUGAAGGAGGGCCUGGCGGAGCAGGCGGCGGUGGCAGCUGGCAGCGGCACCGGCGGCACCCCCAGCGGCCGCCGCUGGGCGGAUGACGUUGAGGAGGAGGACGGUGAUUUCGGCGCCUACCUCGCCUCGCUGUCGCCCUGGAUGGCGGCGGAGCUGGCGGCGAUGGGGAAAGCAGAGGCCGAGGGGGAGUGCGUGCCGGCGGCGGCCGAAGUGGAGAAGGAGAAGGCCGUUGUCACUGAGCGGGAGGACGCGCCUGACUCGCCGCUCAGCUCGUGCUGCUGCGCCGUGCCGGACAGCGCCCGCACCAGCCGCAGCGCCAGCAGCUGCAGUCUGGUCUGGGUGGCGGCGGCGGCAGGCAUUGAGACGCCGCAGCAGGUGGAGUCGGUGGAGGCGGCAGUGGAGGAGCAGAGCGCUGACAAGGAGGCCUGCACCGCCGCCGGCAGCAGCAUGGGCAGCUGUGUCGUUCCGCCGAUCGCGGCGGUGCAGCAGGGUGAUGAGUGGCAUUUAGCUGUGAUGCCCUCGCGCCUGCGCCUGGCGAUCGAGCUGGCGGCGGCGGCGUGGGCCGAGCAGGCGCGGGAGCUGGAGGAGUUUGCCGCGUUGGAGCGCGCGUGCGGCUGCUACUGCUCACAGCAGCAACUGUCCGUGGACGCGUAAGAGCCGAAGGCCGUGCCGGGCAGUGCAGAUGUCCUGUGGCCUGCGGGUAUGGCAACACGACAACAACAAUGCAGCGUGUGCCGCCGCGGCCCCUGCGCGCGCGGGGUUAAGUGCAACAGGAACACCUGCCUGAUAGCACACAGCGAUACCAACGCCGAUACAUUUUUGGACAUAGCUAAUGGCUAACUACUGGUAAUGAGAAAACCGCUCAACUGAAGCGCAGGAAAUCACUGCGCCCGACAUGUGUGCUGUAGGGCUGUUAAUGUGCUGUUGCCGCUUUAUCUUAUCAUGUUAUGCCAAGUGCUGUUAUGCUGAUAUGCUCUGAUGCCAAGUUCUCAAUGCUUAUCGAGAGAGAUGCUGUCCAGAGCAAAGUGACUGCGUGCAUGCUGGGAACAUGCAGAAGUACCGUAGCGGAGUGCUAUGUGAGUGUUCACAGAUGAUGGUUAAUAGCAGACCUUUUGGCUUCUCAUUCGUAGUACGGUAUUGAGACCCGUAUUGCCAACCAACCUGUACAAAGGAUCCGGGUUCAAAACGUUUAUACUAGAAAGGGCUGCAAAGGUCAACGGUUUGGAAUGGCGACGUGCGUGGUGCAGGUUUGAGAUGCGUAAAUCGAUGAAUACGAUAUGCCGGCUUGCCCACAUGGGCACGCCCACAGGGCAGGGGUGCACAAUCACCCGAGAGGCAAUUGAUUCGGGGCGCAACUGGGCGUGUGAUUGCUUGAUGAAUCUUGGAGAGUGGUUUGCCGGGUGAGUCAAGAGUUUGCCCGAAUGGUUUUAGUGCUUGCGUGCGGCAGCUAAGGAUCCAUCCAUGAUUGAUUGAUAGUGCGACCUUGUGCCAUUGAUUCUUAUCAGACAACGUGCUGAUAGCUAGACCUCGCAGCCCCGUUAAAGAUAGUCAACAUGGGCCUCAGCGUGUGCUGAGGCUGCAGUAGCAAGCCUUCAGCAAACCACGGCAGCGGCGCUGCGCCGGGCAUGGACAGUGCGUGAAAGCUGUGUUCACGUUUUGUCGUUUUGAAGGCGGUAGCUCUUGAUGACUGUCGUCAUGUGUAACGUUGUGCACCAAGGUUUGUAGUGCAUGGGUUGUGCUGUCAAUGUAUAACUAUGAGGUUGUAAUUGAAGCACGGUGUGCACCCGAGCUACCGUAUGGGGUGCUGCCAACCCUCAAGAUACCGUGCUGGGCAGGGGAGGGGGGUAUGCAACUCGGCCUGGAUCCAGCCCGGGCUGCAUGGGACCCGGCCAAAAGGUGUUCGGAUCCCCCAGCGCCUGCUCCUGAGACUUUAUUAUUGUAACCUGGACAAAUGUGUAGUCAUAUGAACCGACAGGUGUCGCUAGGAAUGGGGCGCAGGCCCCCCUGUAACAUUUCGAGUGUUGGGAGCCGUUUUGGACCACCGACCGAUCUAUAUAGCAUGGACUAGUGGAACGGGCUCGAAAGCUAGUCGCCAGGCGAUUCGCCGCGCACUGGAGCUGCUGUGGGCCCUCAAAGCAACGGCAAGUCGGGGGUAAUCGGCCCUUUGCGGGCUCGCUGGGCAUUCUAAGGAGCUGCCAGCAGCUAUCAGAGUACCGCAAGGACAAUAAGAAGCCAUGGCUUGGGCUUGCGUGGCCUUAGAAGUCUCAAGGACGCGGCCGGUGUGGCAUUAGUUCCCGCCCGGACAUGCCCCUGGCGUCGCGAACGUCCAUAUGGCGUCGCCUCCAGCUCUCCUGCCGUGGUUAGGUGUCUUGGCCAAAUAGACAUCUGUAUGAACACUGUGCGCCUGGCCCGAUAUAGUUUAGACGUGCGCAGACGGUCUGCACUAAGGUCGCGAAAUUCCAGGGGUUUCGCGUUGCGGACUUGCGUAGUUUCGCUAAAUCACUGGGACGCCGUUCAGUCCUACAAUCAUAUGAGGUCCCUGAUAUACAGAGCUCAUUGCCGGGGCCUUAGCGUGGACCGGUGGCUCCAACCAGAAUGCUGGCACAUUCUUGCAUCGCCAGGACCGCUCAAGCGAAAUUCCCUGGUGGUUUCGUGUCUUGGCCAACUAGAGGUGCAGGGGAUCCUAACGCGCUUGUCACAUCGACAAACGGUUGAGAUUUGGGGACAUGCACUAAGGUCGCGUUUUCCGUGCCAUUUCGCCGCCCUAUGGCGCCCGCCCGCGUGCCCCGGUAUCCGCACAUCAGUGUGUGGGUUGAGCGCCAAACACUGCCUGUGACCGUAGUUCGGUGGUAUGCAUAAAUGGGAGGCGUCAGGCGCCAAGGGGUGGUGUGUAAUGGCACCUGUGUGCCCUUUCCCAUAUCGCCUUUCACCCUCCCUGUCCUGCUGCCUGCCUCUCUUCCCUGCCGCAGAUUCUCCUAGUAUACCUGAGCAUCAGUAACAUUCAGUUUAGCCAUGGGCCGGGAUGAGCAGAAGCAGUACUUGCACUGCUACACGUGCGGUAACAAGGUGCUCUCGUACAGCUUCAUUCGCGUCUGGAAGCACUACCUCAGCGCCACCAUGGGGCCCAGCAACCCAGUGCUUCCCAUUACUCCCCAGCCGCCGCCGGCGAAGGUUGGCUUGCGCGUUCGUUUCGAGUGCGCCCAGCACAACUGCACUGUGCAAGCAGAGCUACAGCAGGGCGAUGAGGAGGAGCAGGCGCGGGACCAGUAUCGGGGCCACUAUGCAGCACACUUCUUGUCGCGGGGUUGGUGAACACCAGCAUCGCGGCUGGCGCAGCGGCACAGCCGCGUGUAUAUGGCACGGAGGUUCAGCUGCAUCAGCAGGCACCGGGGUCAGGAAGCGCUGUAGUGCCUGUGGCUGCUGCUGCAGCCGCUGCUCCGCAGCAGCAUGUGCUGCGGCGCAGCCUCCGCAGGAAUGCUUCCAGCGUCAGCGGUAUCGACCUCGACACUUUCGACCCGCCACCACCGGAUAACCAUUUGGAGACUCCUGCUGCGCCGUCACCGCCAGCGCCGGAGCAGCUAACAGCUGCACCCGCCACACAGGACGCCGUUGCUGCAGAUGUGACGGCGGUGCCAGAACCGGAGGCAGCUCAGCUGCGCCCAGCCCUGCGGGCCGUGUCAGACCAGUGGACUGGCAAUACGCCAUCUGCAUGCGAACUGGUGCUGUAUGCUAUCCUCUGCCUUCGUUUCGCAGACAGCGGGUUCACGAUCAGGCGGUGGGUGCAGCGGCUGCUGGCGGAGCUGUGGUGGCGGUCGGCAUCAGUGCGGGGGCGGCCGGCUUUGCCACGGCGGCCGCGGUGGAGCCCGCAGCUCCCAAGCGCGGGCGCGCCAAGCGCGGGCUCCCCGCAGAGGCACCACCCGCCCAGCGCGACGGAGCGCGCAAACGGCUGCCAUCUGUGCGCCUGAACGACUGAGUGCAUUGGUUACUGAUGUCGUAACCACCACAGGAUUUAGCAAGAUAGAGCUGUGAUGGGCAUACCCAAUUCUUUGCAGGCUUUUCGCGUGUACUACAUGAAUGAACACAGCAGCCUGAACGCCGCGCCCGGCACGCAUACAGCAUGCGCGUGGGACUCGUUGGUGAGGACUGAUCCAAAUAUCUCGAUUUUGUAUGUACGUCAUGUAGCACAUCACUUGCAAGUGCAUGUGCACACACUGGCAUAUGUGGCUUUGCUUCGAGCGCCGAUGCGUACAAUAAGCAACCUUGACAUUCUCUCAUUUCUUAGUACCAGGGAAGCCUUCCCUGCCUAGUACCGUACAGUGCAGUAUGGAGUCGGAAGUGAACAACGCAAUGAGCAUGGAAGGGAAGAACGCCGUGGACGUACAAUGCAGUAUGGAGUCGGAAGUGGAAAAGGAGUGAAGGGCAGUAUGGCUGAGAGUGCAGCGUCAGCACAGCAUGUAGCAUAGUAGCGAUGACACUCUUUAUGGCUUGUACACGUACACAGAGGCAGGUGAAAUCAAAGGCGGCAGUGAAGGUGGCCGUGUUUUGUUUAUCCGCACGGAAGCGUAGAGAUGGGCAGAGGCAGCAUCGUGGGAUGCACACAUAAGGCAUCAUAUGUGCGAUGUAGACGACCAUACGUGGCCACACACGAGUUGCAGGUACGGGCAGGGUAGGCAUCAGGGGAGGCCUUCCCCUGGUAGGUAUUACACGCAUGGUGUGGGUGUUCACACAUACACAAGGGGACCGGAGCAUGAGCACAGGAGUCACGAGUCCCCCGGUCAGGAGGUGCAUACCAGCGCAGCCGUGCUGGCACGUUCAAAGCCCAGUGGAGGCAUGUAACGAACGCUUAGCAGCAAUCGUGGGUUUUACGCCUGUGGGCUUCACGCUUUGCAUCCAGGGGUAAGGUGCCUCGUCCGCCUGAAAGCGCGGGACGCACGCGCGCGCUGACACCAACAGACACGGACCAAACCCCUAAAUAUGGCAUCGGGGCGUAUGUGUAGAGCUGUGGGCAGGGGCCGCUGGCUUCUCUGGGCCUCGGAAAGGGCACCAAACGGCCAUUUCCGCGAAGGGUCUGAAGGGCACCGGGCAUCGCUCCUGAGAGGCCGCGCCCUUCGCUUUCUGGCGUUCACUUUAAUUCAACAGGGAUCAGCAGGCCUUCUGAGUUGAUCACAGGUGUCCGGAAUUUCGUUCCCCGUGUUUCAAGUGCGCGCACAUUGGCCAUGGCCGACUCACUCGACGCACUCGUUUCUGGGCACCUGUCGGUUCAUAUGACUACACAUUUGUCCAGGUUACAAUAAUAAAGUCUCAGGAGCAGGCGCUGGGGGGUCCGAACACCUUUUGGCCGGGUCCCAUGCAGCCCGGGCUGGAUCCAGGCCGAGUUGCAUACCCCCCUCCCCUGGUGCUGGGUGGCUUGGGUACCGCAUGGUGCCUAUACGGUGAACCUGUAAUGUUGCUGAUGAGCCGGGGCUCCCUAGACCUGCGUCAUUAUUCUCAUCAACCUUCCAGAGGAUGGCACACGGUCCGCUGGUCUCGCCUCUUCAGCAUGGAUGCAUCCUGAGUCCUCAUGUCAGCCACAAACCUGACUAGCUGGCCAUUCAACCCAUGCGCCCACGUCGUGCAUUCCCCAUCCCCAUGGAAAUGAUGGAGCCAUCCCGCGCGACCACAACGUGAAUGGCAGUUGUCUCGUGACCCCUACCGCCGCAAAGCGUGCAAAAGCAAGAGUUGAUGGCUGGCACCCGCACCCAACAAUAAGGGCACGCACGGCCACGCGCACGGCGCGCGCGCGCACGCAUGCACACGCACGCACUCAUUUGGCAGAAGGAUUAGUUGCAGCUGAGGAGCAAGGGGGGCAAGGGCGGCGGAGCGGAUAGGCGCUGCGAAGUAGGGCCCAGGAGUGACGGUGCGACGGGUCCAGACGCGAACUCGAGGCCCAACCUUGGUUGCCCAAGGAAUGGAUGCCAUAGUCGCACGUCGUGUCCAGCCGAAAGGCAUAGCAGGCACAUUAGAGCUUUUCCCCUAAGCAAGGCAAUUGACAAGGGACUGCGAGGAUCCGGCUGUGCAGGGGACGCGACCGGAUUGGGCACUUUUGCUUUUGAGUCCCUAUAGAAGAGGCGCUCGAGCCCGGUCUACAUAACAAUACAUUUUCACUACCAACUGCUUAUUCUACGUUCAAAGAUCCUACACAAGAGACAACUUCGCGAAGUUUGCGACCGCAGGUCGGCGGCCCCCGCGGCUUGCCUUCCUGCCCUGCAAUUGUUUGUAUUGGGCUAGGGAGCCACAAGAAAGCUCUUACAGCUGUAGGGAAGCCUUAUUCACCGCGCGGACCUUCGCGCAGUCAGCGUACACCGCCAUAGAGGGCUGGACAACUCUUGCGGAAGGCUUAGGUUAUGAGCAAGCUUGCACCGUGUCCAUCUGGUCAGGAGCACCGUCUUGGCCGAAGUCGUUCUGUCGAGGUAAGCGCGGUUCUGGGCAGGGCCCGUUUACGAGGCGCGAAAAUGCGUUGAGCAGCGGAACCUACAGGGCUUGUUAGUGAUUCUGGAGGCACGCAAAUCUUGCCGGAGCUUGGGGCCAGUUGCGAAGGCAUCUUCGCCCAGCGCGCACCUACACCAAACCUCGCGCCAGCAACUGAACGUGACAGAAGGUCCUUCGAGCUAUGCAAUAGAGGAUCUGGGGGCCCGGUCAAAAUGGCUUACCUAAAAGCACGUGGCCUUCCGCCGACCUUGCGGGUGUAGGGAUUCCUGCAGCGCUUCCGCGGUCUCGGCCCCCUGCGUGCUGUUACGCGAUUGGUGCGAGCCAUUGAGACCAGUCGGGUGUAUGGGAUAGUGUGUUUCUGACCUCUGCGCGACUAAGGCCUGCCUGUUCCGAACUCACGGUUGCCUCUGUCGUUGCCUUCCCCUGCAGGACGUCUGGCGCCACGACGACAAUGGCAGCAGCUGCAUCUGUCAAGAGCAUACUGGCGAGGGUCAGCUGAGCUCCAGCGUUUGCCGGUCCAGCUACUGCGGCGCGUCAUCAGCACGCUGCCAUGAGGCGCACUGUGACUCCGACAGCGACGCUGAGAGCGUGGAGGAUUGGGCGCAAGAGCGGCACUUGUCAUACUACGAGUGGGUAUCGCUGCCGCGGCCGUUGGUUCGGCCGCCAGGGCUGCCCCGUCCCCCACGUCGCAUCGAGUCAGCGCCGUGCUUUCACAAGUGGGGCGCAGCCGCCGCAGUGGCGCUUCAGCAACCGCGGCAGCAGCCAGCGGCAGCAGGCGGAAACACCUGCAGCUGGGCGGAUGACGACGAUGAUGAUGAGGAGCUCGACCUCGGGUCGCUAGCAGACUGGAUGAAGGAGGGACUGGCUGAGCAGGUGGCGUGCUGCACCGCGGCCAACACAGGCGCAGACCGCUGCUGCCAGCCCGCGUCGUCUGUCGAGCGCGCAGGGGCUGAGCUGGAGGCGGAGCCGCAGUUGGAGCCCAGCGCGGCUGCUGCGCCACCUGCAGCGGCGGUCUCUGAGGCCGCAGCCACGGAGGUGCUGUCUGGUAGCAUGGCGCAGCUGCCGCCGCCAGCGCAGCUCCUGCUGCAAGCCGCGCCAGACCUCAUGACCGGCUUCUCCUGCCCGGGCGUGGUGCGCCUGGUGCUGUCGCAGUCGCCGGCCGCGGGUCACGGUAAGGCGGAGGAGGGUGAGGAAGAGGGGGCCGAGGACGCCGGCGAGGACGCGUGCAUCGAGCCCACGAGCCCUGGCAGCUCGGACUGUGGCUGCGGCCUUGACGGCGGCAGCAACCUUGGCCUGGGUAGUGACGGCAGCGGCAGCCGCUGCUGCAGCAGCCUGAGCCUGUCGUCGUGGGACACGGGCGCGCUGACGCGGCACGGCUCGCUCACGGAGGAGGAGGCGGUGCCGGACUGCGACACGUGUGGCCUGCUGUGCGCGGGCGGCUGCUACGCGAGCCACAGCUUCAGCGCCUGCGGGCCGGCCGGUGCUCUGGAUGAGACGGGCCUGACGCGGUCCUGCUCGCCGGGCCCGAGUGGCCUUUGCGCCGCCGCCCACGCUGCCGACAACAGCUGCAUUUGCUACUCAGCAGUGCUCGCCGCCACGACCAAUGUGGUGGUGGAUGUGGCGCAGCUUGAGGCUGCCUGCGGCCAGGCCAGUGCAAUCGUCGCGGCCUCGUGCAGCUGCAUCUACAUGUAUGGCUGUGACGCCUACGGUGCGGCGGCCGCCGUCGCCGUGCCGGCAGCUGACCGGCAGGCGUGCGCAGUGGGCAGUAGCACCGGCUGCGGUUCAAGCUCGUGCACCACCGGCACUCUGGUGUCACCGACGCCCGUGUUGUGCUGGGAGACCAGCGCGUGGGAGCAGCGCAUUGCCGCGCAGCAGCAGCAGCAACUGCUUGCGGCAGCGGCCUGUCCGUCAGAUGCGGUCGAGUGCCCGGUGUGGCUGGAGCCAGCCCUGGGUUUGAUGCUGAGCCAGGUUGUAGCUGAGGCGUUGUGGGGCGAGGACGCAUAAGUGACCAGAGGCGGGCCUUUGGCGGCCGUGGGAGGGGCUGCAAGGAGGAGAGAACCAUCUAUCUACAGAGCGCAUGAGCGAUAGCGUGCGCCUUUUUAAACCCGAUAAGCAAAACGCAGCGUGUUGCAGGGGGUAGCGCGGUGUGUGCGGUGUGGUGUUGGGCGCACGUGCGCAAACGGAAGUGGGCAUGGAUGAGCUGGGGCGGUCGCGUGUCAUAAGGAAUGCAUGUUGUUUGCAGCAUACUGUACAGCGUCUGUGUUUGUGCUCUUGCUUGAUGUUCCUAAUCUACCUAAAUUUGUUGGGAGCAGGACAAGUGGCGCGCAAAUAAGAGCAGGUCUGACAUUCAUUGCGGCGGCUUGAGACAACAGUUGUGCGUUUGUUCUUUGUCUUGUUGACACUGUAUGCUUAGGCAGGCGACACAUAGGUAGAGCUUUCUUUCAAAAGAUGGCAAGUGCAAGUAGCAAUGUCAGCUGUAGUGCAGGUGUUCGUGUGGUGCCGCUUGACUUGUCGUGUCAUGCGUCGUUUCUGCACUACCGCAGUGCACAUGGUAUACAAUCAGCCGCUGGUAGUAAAGUUGACGUGGGGGUUGACUUGAGGAAUACUGAAUCAGCAGUGAAUUGUGUGCGAUCCAAACUAUGGCAUCUGCCGCUGAGGCGUGGCGUGAUCACCAGGGCCGCUUACCGGUACGCGCAAAUGCGCAAUUGGGGUCUUGCGACAAGACUUAAUGCAAGGUGGCCGGCGUUGGCGUGUUUGGUAUGCACCGAAGUUUAGAAGAUGGCUUGCAUAAGGUAUCUGGCCUGGAGCGGCACUGGGUGCUGAUAUCAAGAGCCAAACAGGGUGACAUCCCUGUAAAACGUACUGUAACGUGGACACUGCAAGCCCCGCUGCACAAACUGAAAUGUAGUUGCUGUUCAUCGCGGUCAGGGGUGUGUGGGUAUGUACACAAGAAAGGUGGCCCAUGUGCCUCACUCAGCGUACGUUUCUGCUGCAGCAAGAAGGCAAAGUACCGCACAGGGGCCGUAUCGUGGGGGCACGCGGACUCUGGCACAGCCUCCUUUCACCUUCGGCCUGCCCGCCACAAUUGUCGUACACAUUCGGGCCCCUCUUCUGCUUUGCUUCGCCUUGUUCUUGCCCCUGUUUGUCACACUGUCGCCCGGCCAUUGUUUUGCUGCACGCCGUUGCAUUACGCUAGUGCUCGUCUACACAGCUCACCCGUGGACGCCGGUCGACUGCCUGCAGGUGCGCAUCGGCUAUGCUAUCCGCGCGGUGUGGCGUCGCAUUGAGUCUGUGUGGUGCUAUCGCCUUGGCCGGGCGCCCGGAGCGUGAGGAAUGCGCGUCAGCAAAACAUCGACACAACCUGCCAGCUACCGUCGGUACAGUAACAGCGCGCGAACGACGCACCAAUGCCUUGUCCCUUCUUGCUACGCAUUUAUGUGGGCACGGGUGGGAGCCACACACAUCGGGACUACGCUUUCCUGCCCCUUGCCAUGUUCCAUCACGAGCCUCCUUUCACCUCAGCUCUACGCCACUGUCUAAUGGCCACUACCUGCACACGCCUCCUCUCACGCUCGGCAUAAACUUAGCCCCUGCGCCCAGCUAUCAGUGCCGACCGAUCGUGGCCUGCAUCGACGUUUGUUGUAGUCGAUGUCAGGGGGGGGGGGGGCUCUCCUGAUCGAUAUGCAAAUUAGCGGGGGUGCCGCCGCCGCCCGUCCCGNNNNNNNNNNNNNNNNNNNNNNNNNNNNNNNNNNNNNNNNNNNNNNNNNNNNNNNNNNNNNNNNNNNNNNNNNNNNNNNNNNNNNNNNNNNNNNNNNNNNCACGCUCGUCGACCCAGCUCGGCGAACCUGCUCUACGCUCCUCGCCCUGGCGGGGGGAGGGUUUCCCUCCCCCCGCAGGCGUGUCGUGAAGCGCGCAGAAGGGGGGGCGGUGCAGGAAACCCUCCCCCCGCCAGGGCGAGGAGCGUAGAGCAGGUUCGCCGAGCUGGGUCGCCGAGCGUGCUAAAAGUUCACAGCACAUCGCAACUGUGCAUGACUUUGCUCACCGAUUAUAUCAACGGAUACAGCUGCUCGCACAUAUCGUGUAAGCUUUCAUCCCAGCCGAUCGGAACGAGCGCGCUCUGAAAUUCUUGCAAGUGCGCGCUCUGGCAGGCCAGACUGUGUCGCUAAUACAUCGCACUGUAAGUUAUAGCUGCGCGCAUUCUCGAGGAAGCCAAGAAAGCGCAGUUGCCGGCUUCGUUCAUACGCUGCACUCGCUCUCGCGGCCUGGAAAGAAGAUCACGUAUACAGGAAGCUACGAGUAAUCGAUCAUGCUAGUUGGUUCGAGCUGAAUCGCGCUGUAGCGCAAACGCACCGGGUGCGUCACACUUUCCAUGGCAUAUGUAGAUAGCUGGGCCCGCCCGUGGGCUUUGUACGCGGGUGGUCUUGCGCCACGAUGCCGGAGUUGGGUGCCGGAGUCACAUCAAGGUCGCAAGAUCGAAACCCAUCAGGAACGGUUCGGCUCCGUUACCUGUGUAGGCACUGAACAUACUUGUGCCGAACUUCCCCGAACGAGCGCCAUCUCGGCCUUCCUAGGUCGCUGCUCUACGGGUGAGGACGCUGGUGCGGCGGGUUCUGAUGGUUUCCCCGCGAGAGCUAUCCUGCUUUCUAGAAGCCGGUCUGCGAGCCAGUUGGCGCUGAUGCGCCGGGGCAGGAGGAGGCCCCUGAUUAGGGAAUGCGCGUCACCCAGCGCCGAUCUGCGAGCCCGUGUUUCGAGGCGUUACCGUGGCCCAGUAUGGCCGAUGGUUGCAGACAACCCCCCUCCCCCAAAUUCGCUAAACACCGUACGUUGCGUACCAUGUCACUUGACUCCCUUAGGGGCACGCCCCAUGGAUCGCAUGGCGGUCCGCUAGUGAGGCAGGGGGCACACCUGGCAGGCAACCACCCAGCUGCACCUCACGUACAACUUGGCGCGGAAAUUUGCGCGGGAAGCCCGAGUCGAAAUCGAGCUACGUGGACGCAGUUUACGCUACUCUACAUAGAAUUAAUAGUUAUUUCACCGGUGGUAUCUUGCCCUGAGCGGGAGCGAAUUAGCAGAUACUUUAUUGUUCCGCAGUGCGCGGAGCUUCAGGUUCAGUUCCGCAGCGGCCGUUGAAGCUUGCCGAUUCUGAGGUUGUAAUUGUUGUCAGCACUGAAGAAGACGGAGACUGGGCUUUUGAGGUAAGCGAGGGCUUCGGCUGGGCCAAGGGUUGUCACCUGGGUCUCGCUCGUUAGGCUCCAGGGAGUCCAUGCUACCUGAGGCAGUGGUAUAACGCAGCUGAAAUAUACGCGUUCUCCUUCGGCCACUUGUCACAGGACCUGGGGCGAGGCUGAGCUCGACGCAAAUUGUUGGACGCUGCGCGCCUGCAUACUUCAAACUGCCUCACAGGAGUACAGAUCACCUUCAGCAACAUCGCGCGAGGUAGAGCUGGUAGCUAGAGGCCAACGGCGCUCGGAGCUGUCGCUUAGGGGGAAUGUGCAUGCAUUACUCGGCUUCCUCGCGCGUCGCUGCUUUACCGAGCGGGCCCUAUCUGUGGGGCUGCCAGUUCGCAAUUAUACCAUUGAUAGUAUAUCCAACGCUUAUGGUGCUCCGAGUCGCUUCACUUCCCCCCACUGCUGCUGUCGCCUUCAACGCGCGUGCAACCACCUCACGUCGGUCCCUUGCAUGUGACCCUGACAGGCGAUCACAACUACUCGGCAGCACAUUACGCCGUCCUUUCUUCUACCAGUGACUGCAGCAUCCCUGGGGCACCGUCCGGACCGGCUUGUGCACCGUGCAGGCUGUCCCACCCUUGACCUUCGGCAGCUGACAUCCUGAGGAUUGAGGUUAGCUCAAUCCUGAGGCUGGUGGUUACGCUUUCUGCGGAAGCGCCGGAUUUGUAGGCGCUAGCCCCUACAUGCAGCACGGGGCACUAGCAGCCGGCUUGCCCGGAGGCUGGGCGGCUCCCUGUGACGGCACUCAGCAGGAUUAUCUAUGCCAUUAUCAGCAACAGCAACUGCAGCAGCAGCAACUACAGCAGCAGCUGCUGCAAUGGCAGCAGCAGGCUUCUGACCGGUUGCUCGGAACCCACCUCGCGCAGCAUCUGCAGGGUCCUUGUAGCAUCCAGCAGCAACACACGGGGGCGUGUCAGCAGCAGCAACACGUGCAGCCCGGCUGCACGACCACCACCAUGGAUGUUGACAUGGAGACGGGUGCCAUCCUGUACCAGCAGCAGCACCACUACCAGCAGCAACAGGAACAGCAGCAGAUGCUAAUGGUGCAGCAGCAGGCGGCCUCGGCACUGGGCAGCGGGAGCGGGCACGGCAUGGGCAUCAAUGCGGCGCUGUUGCCGGCAGCACUCGCCGGCUUGGCCGGCACCGGCCCUGUAUCAGGCGGCGGCGGCGGGCCGGCUGCAGCAGAAGCCACCACUGCCCUGAACAGCCUGCGCUUCCUGGGCAGCGGCAGCAUGGAUGCCGCUGCCACCACUGCCACGUCGGCGCUGGAUCCCGCUGCCGCAGCUGUGGCAGCUGCCGCCGCCGCCUCGGCCGCCGCGGCGGCGGCGGCGGCCGGGCUGGACAUCGGCUCUGGCUCAGUGAGUCCGGCCGACGCCGCCGCCCCGGCGGCGCAGCUUGCUGCCGCCAUCCUGCCUUGCUCCGCCGCCGCUGACACCACAGCCGCCACUGCGCCGGUCGCCGCUGGCACGGCAGCUGCCGUUGCUACAGCCGGAGGCGCGGCGCCCAGCCCGCUGGCCUGGGCGGGCUGCUACGGCUACCCGGGCGGCGGCAUUGUGUUCAACGGCAUGUACUUCUUCAACUACGCGCACCUCAUGGCCUAUCGCCGCAGCGCCAUCGCCUACAACGUGGGUUUUGUUCCGAUUGCUUAAAUGGCAUGCUUGCAUUGGGGCUGCCAGCAGAAUGAUGCAGGAAUUGCAACCGGAGCGUGUCUUAAUUGACUUUGGGACUGACGCGCGUCGUGCCGUGCUGCCUUUGCCUUUUUACUCAAAAUGGUUGCGCAGUUCCACUACUUCGGCAUCAGGCCCGAUUUCCACCCGCCGGCCGACCUGCCGCGCCCGCCGCCCGCGCCGCCGGCGGCAGCUGCCUCUUCGCCCGCGGGCGGCAGCUCGAGGCACGCCUCCCCGCCGCCACCCGCACGCGCGCUGUCACCAGAAGCUGUAGCCAAGACCGCCGCAACAGCUACAGCCGCGCCCAACCUGUCGCCGUCGCCCUUCGCGGCGGCCGCUGCAGCGGCAACCCCCAUGGAGGCCAGCCCGCUGCAGCCCGGGGCGUCACCCAGCACCCCGCCGGCGCCCGCCGGCGGCCAGCCGCCGCCAGGUGCCUCGCCACCUGGCCGCCAGCAGCACCCUCAGCACGCCCAGCAGCAGCAGCACGACCUAUGCCGCGCGGUGUUGGAGGACCGCCUGACUGGUGGCGGCGGCGGCGGCGUGACUGCUGCCAUGGCGGCGGCGGCUGAGGACGGCGGCAGCUCCAGCUGCGGCUCCCCGGGCGGCAGCAGCACCUGCAGCAGCUGCAGCAGCGGCGCCGACAGCGACGACAUCACUGCCGCCGCCGCUGCUUCUGCCGCGGCAGCCGCCGCCGCCUCGCCGACGCCCUCCUCUCUAUUGUCUCCAACGUACGCUGCAGCUGCAGCCUGUGUGCCCGCCGCCGCCGCCGCGCAGGGCUCGCCGAUGGACUGCCUGCUGCUCUCUACGCAGCGCGCGGCGGCGCUCCUGCAAGCGGCAGACGCCUCCGUCGCCGCCAAGCCGCCGGCGACGGCUGCUGCGGCGGCGGCAGCUGCAGAAGGUGCGGCGGCGGCGGCAGCGGCAGCGGCGCUACUCCCAUCCUGGGAGCGCCUGCUGUCGUGCGGGAUUCACGCGCCGCCGCCGGCGCCAACGGGGCCCGGGGCGCCGCACUCGCCGCAGGCCGCCGUCCCGGGCCUGCCGAUGCCGCUGCCGCCGGUGCGCUGCCACGGCGCAAACGGCGGUGCUGCGGGUGAUGCGGGCUCGCCCCUGCGCGGCUUCAUCGGUGCUGGCGGCAGUAGCGGCUACGUCUGCUCGCCUCGCAGCGGCGCCUGCCCCACCUGGCUGGAGCCGGCGCUUGUCCGCAUGCUUGGUCAGGUGGUGGCUGACGCGCUGUGCGGUGGGGCCGAUGAGCAGCAGCUGUGAGGCUCCAGCAGCACUACAGCAGCGACUGCAGUGGCUUAUUACCAGCGCGCGGACCUACAGUGUCUGCAGCGCCGCGGCUUAAGAGAAUGCAUUCCCUUUCGCACACAGAGGCUUGCCUACCUUCAUGUUUGCCCUUCGCUCAAGUGCUAAGAAGAGGCUCUGACUUCUGGCUUGUGUUCAUUACUUUUUACCACUGCAAUUCAACCCUUAAUAAUUAUGCGCACGUAUUGACGGCAGCUGGUGGCAGGCAGGGGGUGCGACGUGGACGCAACGCAUUCGUGGGGGUCGUAGGUUCGCAUUUGCUUGGUAUGAAGGGGGCAGGGGAGCUUUGAGUUCUGGCUUGUAUGCGUCCGCCCGCACGCACCUGGCACGUUUGCUGGGAUGGGGCGUGAUGAUCGAGCCCUUCGCAUAUAUGUAUACUUGGGCAGCGGGGUUGUACGGAGCGUGUGUCCAAGAAGCGGCUCAGGCGCUUCCCGUGGCGGUCCUGGCGCGCUGGGCACUCCGUGCCGCUGCGUGUGUUGGCGGACGCCGCGCAUGCACGUACAAACAGGGGCGCAGUUCAGGGGCGCCCCUGCUGCCCAAACACCGCAGGAGGUGACACAGAGCACGUCGAUGUUGCGGGAGCUUAUCACCGGCAGUAAAUGCGAUAUGCACUGGACUGGCAGAUUGGCAGAGACUGGCCCAGUCAUUAGGGCCCGCGUGCGCGCUUGGUGCCUUGUUGGCACGCGCAAAGCGCGGGUACGCCACUGACCUCACGGCGGCUACGGCGGCAACAGCUUAGUUUGAGGAAUGCGGGCAACCAAGGACGGAUGCAGGUGGGGACAAAAAAGGGCCCGCAGUGCUGGCAGCAUUGCUAGCACGCGGGCCGGCGUGGGUGUUACAGGCUUAUCCAAUGGCCUCCACAUUCUUGUGUGUGCUUUCCAGGACAGAAGACCUCAGCGAUUCUUGUAUGUGGUGGAUGACUUUGUGUGCGUGUGUGGUGUGGACGGCUGGAGCGGCGUGUGUGUUAUUACAGUGUGCAGGGAGCGGCGGUGGCGGAGAUCCGUAUUCUUUGCGCGCAUCAGUGUGUCAGGGCACCGACAUAUCUGAAGGCAAGGCCGCGUGCAGGGCCGUGUGCAAACUUUAGUGUCGGGCGAGUAUGUCUUGCGAGGAACGAUCACCAUGCGUGCGGACCCGUGGCGGCCUCAGGACCGCACGCGUGUGUGCGAGCGGGUGAGGGCAUGGGCUUGCGCGGUGGCGCAGCAUGAUUCGACUGCAGGAGACGUGUGGCCGACUGGGGAGAUGGGGCAUGGUGGGUGCGGUGUCCCAUUUGCGAUGGCCUGCGGCGUCGCACAUUCACUGCGGCGCGCACAUGGGGCCCUUGCAGACACUUAACGCGGUUGGGCCAUGUCGAUCGUCAGUUGUCGUGGAGCUUGUGACAGGGGCGACCCGCCCAGCAGCAGCAGAGUGCCUGGGUCCUGUAAGCAGAAUGGGCGUGUGUUCCGGCAGAGCUCUUGCGCCUGCCAUGACGGGGAGGCGUCCUCUGAACCCGCUGCGUGUGGCAGGGCAGCCCCUGAUGGCAGCCCCCCAGACAGCGCACGAGGCGGGGUCGCCGGCACGCGUGCACCCGAGGUCAGCACUCACGUGUCAGCAUGGCUGCAGGCCUUCAGGACAUUACAGGAGCGUGAGGACUGCGCACCAGCAAACUUUCUGAGCCAGCCAGCGCGAUCAUCGGUGAUGUAAGCGCGCACGCGUUCUGCGCCUUCUGCCCUGCCUAGCCUUAUGGGAUUUGCGGGUCGGGAUUUCAGCCAUCACCACGGGACCUCAUCUUUCAUCCCCUCUGCUCUUGCUUGUCCUAGAUCACAACAGCAUGGCUGCAGGCCUUCAGGACAUUACUUACAUAAGGUGUAGUGAAGUGCGCCUGGACGAGGACCCCAAUGGCCCAACCCAGGGACGAAACCCCGCCUGUCCCCAACGACACGCCCUGAUGCUCCGGAGCAGUCCGGCCUGCCGGCAGGGAGCCGGCCAUCCCUAUCCACCUCAAUGCAACCAAAGUCACCAUUUCUAUGGAUUGAAACCACAUGCAUGUUUGCAAUAUAGCUAGCCCGGGCCCCGGGCUCACUGCUGCUAUCAGCCUCAGGAGCCCCGGCUGAAGCAUUCACAAGAGCAGCCCGCAGCGUCGCACAUGGCUAUUGUCUUCACACACAUUUUGGGUACUCGUGACAUUACAGUAACAUACCGCGUGCCCCAACUGCCAUAUCCCGCAGCUGUCCAUACCCUUUUCCGCGCGCUGGGGGCUCAAAAUACUGACUGAAACUGAAGCCUGCGCGCGCCUCAUGCAAUGUUCACUGGCCCUAGCUAGCUGCUGCUGCUCUUAUACAAGCCGCACGCGGGCCGGGCGCCAGGGCACCUGGUGGAGCAGCAAUCUUUGAUAGCCAUGGACAGCAGCUGCUGCAUGGUGAAGUAUUGCGCCGACGAGGCCUGCACGCAUACGCAUAAGCAUAAUCACAAGGAAGAAUGCAGGAAAACGUUCAGUAGGCAGCGAACAUGGCGGGCGCGGCACCCCGCCACAUAGCUAGUAUAUAUGGAUAUUGUAGUUGCGUGUCAGGCGUGCCGCCCGGGAUCACUUCACCGGCAGAGGAAAGGCCAAUGAACGCGCCAGCCACGUGGGAGUGACCGGCAGCUUCCGCAAACCGGUCGCAGAACCCCUAGCAUGCAUGCACCUUGUUUGCCCACAGCAAGUAAGCUGCUCCAGACUAGCUUCCAAAAUGUGUAACGCGGGAACCGUAGCCGGCGUAGCGCUGCUUGACCGUAGGUCUCUCGCCCCUCCCGCCGUCCGCCCGCUGUUUCACUCACGUCCACUUGAAACGAGUUGAUGGAGCAGUCCCUGCCAAUGAGGACCACCCACAGACCCUUGGGCCCAACCGCGGCCGCCACUGCGGCAACCUGCUGAUCCGCACGCUGUAGUGUGAGCGGGUCGGCGCACUCCGCACGAGCCGUGAACACGGGGCCGCACGGGGCCGCUGCAGUGAGCGCAGGCACCUGUCGAGCCACCUACAAGAAAGAUGGAGGGGAGGGCAAGGUCAGUAAGUGCGAAGCGCUGAUGAAGAGACGGAGCGGAAGAGCCACGGUAGGCAAGGCACGUGGCAGGACUAUCUCACAUUAUUACGCUAGCUGGAGAAAUGGGCAGAGAAAUGAAGCAAGGGCAGAGGCAAGGCAACUUUGCCCGGCCACACUAGAAGCUGACGGCCUGUGAGGUAGCUAGGAGGUGUAUGUGGCGGUAGGUGCAGCCUCGACCGCAAACCAGGCCACAUACCGUACCCGGUGUGGGCCCACACCCGCUCUACACCGGUUGUGCUGUACCUGGCAGCCUGUGUUGCCCAGCAGCAGGUGGCAACACAGCCCUCCCACCCAACCCGCCCGCCUGCCAUCCCGCUCUCACUUGGUUGCAGGCUGCCACCGCCGCUGCCUCCGCAGCAGCCGCGGUUGGGGCGCCGGAUGCGACGGUGGGCUGUGCGGCGGCAGAGGUCGCGCAGUCGGACGUCCAGGCCACGGAGUAGUAGGUUCCCCAGGCCGACGCAUUGAGGGCCAUGGAUUUGGCAAGCUUGAAUUUGUCCGCAUACAUGGCCUCGGCGUUGCAGCCCGCCUGGCCGGACGCCAACACCUGCAGGAGGUGGGUGGGGACCAAGAGGGCAAACAGUGGGAAUGGGGUAGGGCUUGGCGUGCAUGUGCCCUUACUUCGACCGCCCCGCGUCACACGUUCCGCGUCACACGUGUGCAACCCCAUUCCACGCACACACACACACACACGCACACACGCACACACACGCAAACACACACAAACACACACGAACGACAGCCAUGCACGUGCUUGCUGCUGGCUCACCCUGCAGUUGUCCGCGCCGCCCAGUAAGCCCGCGGCGGCGUAGACCUUCUGGCACCCGCUGCGCGCCGCGGCCUCCGCCGUCGCGCUGUCUGCUGCAUUGCUCGCGUAGGCGUGCAGCGAGCAGCCCGUGCCCACUGCCACCGCCCACCACUUGCCCCAGUCCGUCGCGAGGGCGGCGGUGCUGGACGCAGCUAUCCAGCCGCGGUUGGUGGCGCAGGGGCCCAGAGUCACGCCUCCGUCACCCCUGCAAAACGAAGGAGGGAUGGACGUGGCAUGCCACGCACAGCAGGAUUUGGCGAACCGUAGUAAGUUGCGUGCAACGUGGCAAGGCAGGUCCGUCAGGCCGUUUCCCCCCAGCAGAUCCAAUAUAAACUACAAAUCGUGCCGUGUUAAACAAGGCAACCACGUGCACGCACGCACGCCACCAGUAACCAACAAACACGCAAACACCCGCACGUACGUUGCGUACUGCAUGCAACGAAGCAAGAAAGCAAGAUAUUACAACUAACUCACAGUGGCAGUUGGGAGUUGGGGGCGUCAAUCAAGGGGUACAGCGCGUUGUCGGACAGCAGCCCCACCAGACCACGGCCGCGCUGAAUACGGACGUAGCCGGUCUCGCCCCACCACGUGCCCCAGCUGUUGCGGAUGAGCCAGUACGGCAUACCGCUGGCGGCGUCCGUGCCGUACCUGCAGUGCGGCGCAGCACGAAGCAGCAACAGCAACAGCAGCCCAUGCAUGCAUGCGGGGGUGGACGGACCGGUGGAUUGGCUGGGCUUGCCGGGCUUGACCGGGUGCGUGCCCCCAUCCAAUCACACACACGAACUCAAACGGCACUCACACGCAGCCUCACACGCGAACACCAGGGCCCCAGGAGAGCACCUGCUGAGGCCAUCGCUCACAUGGAUGAGGGCGGCUGCGCAUGCAGUUGCCCAGUGCCCCUCGGUCCAUCCCCUGCCUGCCCCCACAUACCCGUCCAUCCCAUUCGCCCCGCCGCCCUUACUUUCGACCCCCACAAUAAUGGGUUGCUUGGGGACGACUGGCGUGCCCAUCCAGCCCGACACGCACCCAGCUGCGCCCACGCGGCCGGCUUCAUGCAUGCACAGCAGCCUAUUUUCUAAGGCAGCUAGUUCGCGCCGGAUGGACAGACGGACUCACCCCACCAGUGCCACUUGGCGCAGGUAGCCCUGCUGCUCUUCGGGGCAGUCCGUGUUGAACACGCCGCCCGAGUAGCGCGCAAACACCGGGCAGGCGCUGAGGGAGGCAGGGCAGCGCACACAGUCACACGGGGGCGGGCAACCACGGAAGGGAUGGUGGGCGGGGUUUAAGGAGGGGAGUUGGAUGGAGGAGACAGCAGGGUAGGCAAGCGGGCUUCCAUGCAGCACGCGCACACACGCGCGCACACCUCCGCACGUACAAUUGCCUUACCAUCCAGCCUACUGCCUGGCUGAGAAGGACCUCCACCACCCCGCACACAGAACCACUCAUUGCAUGAGCAUGCGCGGCAGACUGAAGUCACUCACUUCACGAUCACGGUCAGCGCGGGAACGCCCGAGCACAGCGCCUGCGGGUAGUCGGGCAGGGUGGCAGCAGGAAGGUAGGGGCAAGGCAAGGCAAGGAAGCAAGUGAGCGUGGGGGCCGCCGAGGCAAGCACCGGAGCGCUCCGGAUGGAGGCUAGCCAUUUACGGACGCCGCGCCCCGCCUCCCCCGCAGUGCCGCCGCCCCGCUGACACGGCCGUCAGGUCGCGUUGUGGUCAACACAUACUCCUGGAUCCUGGAUCCCACGACCCAAGCCAGCCCAUCCCACCAAUGGGAUCAAUCCCUCACAAUGAAGUGCCCCAUGAGGACCUUGUGGACGGUUGCCACGCCUCCGCAGGUACGGCAGUGUUAAGAAGAUGGCACAGGCGGCGUCCGCGGCGGCGGCGGGGCGGGGCGCUGGCUCCGAAUACGUACCUUGAACAUUGCACUUUCGGUCGUCACCAGGCCCACGUAGCCGCGCAGGCGGAUGCCGUCGCGCGACGACGUGCGGCAGGCGGCGGGACCGGGCGCGAUGCCCAGCCCCGUGAACGGGUACUGCGCGGUGCUGUACAGGCCUGGGCGGAAACGACGCACGGAUGCGUGCCGUGUAUUCAUGGGCGGGCGGAGUCAGUAAGGCAGGUGUACCAGCACGUGGAACAACAAGUAAGCACGCAGGCGCAUACGCAGGCGCGUCAUCAGCUGAGUGCGUGAUGGUUCGGUACGUGGCAGCGGCGACACGGACGGCGCACGUACCUACGGAAACGCGGUGAAGAAGCAAUCAAGCAAGCGGUAGCAGGGCGAUACUCACCCGCCCAUGCACGCACGUGCGCACCCACGCACGCGCCCACCCAUACAACACACACACACACACACACCUGCAUCGCAUACACUGUCUUUGCGCAACGUUUUCCUUGUGCUCUUUAACACACACACCUUGCUGAGUGGCGUAGGUGAAGGACGGCUCGGCGCGCCCGCCACUGCGGCGGGUUAUCAAUUGGCGACGUCAAAGUCAUCGGUGCGUGCAUCGGUUUGCAAAAUAAGCAUGGCAGGUACUUGACAAAUACGACAGAUGCACGCACAGCAGCAGGUGGGCACGCCAGCAGUUAUAAGCAUGGGAGCCAUACGUGCACCUCAACCCACGACACACCCGGGUAGCCCGAGUGGCCUGCAUGCCGCCGGGCGGCGGUUGCUAUAUCGUGGCAGCUAGCAUGCAAAUAACCUCGGUACGCUACUCACUUGCAGCCGUGGGACCAGGUCUCGCAAUCGAUGAGCUGGUGAAGGCACGUACGUGUUGGUUGAGAGGGCGGGCGGGGGGCGGCGAGGACAGGGAGGGUGGGGGGCGAAGGGCAGGUGGAUCCGCAUGCAGUGAGGGUGGGGGCCGAGGAGCAGUUGGAUCCGCACGCAGCAGGUGCAUGCGUAGUGAUCAGUGGGGGCAGGGCACACACACACACACACACACACACACACACACACACACACACACACACACACACACCAUGCUUCCACCUUUGCCUAUAGGUGAGCUCGACUACGACCAGCGGGCGGGAAUCCGGGAAUUAGGCGUGCUGGGUAAACGUUGUUUAGCGCGCCCAGGGUGCGGAGCAUGGACGCAUACAGGUGCAUCGCGGGGUCAGGCCGAAUGGUCGCCCGUGGGGUUCCAGGCUUAUCGCAGGUAAGUAUGACUACCUGGGUCACGACAGUCACGCGACGCUCGGUAAAAUGGUGGGUAUCGGUAAGUAACUCCGGCGCGUCAUUGGGCGGGCUUUCGUUUCGUUUUUUAACACACACACACACACACACACACACACACACACACACACACACACACACACACACACACACACACACACACACACACACACACACACACACACACACACACACACGCGCGCACACACACACACACGUAGCUACCUGUUGCUUGCUGAGCGAGAAGGACUGGGUGUCCAGCAGUUUGCCCACCGCGGCCUCGAUGGCGGCGGUGGCGCCGAACGCCCAGCAGCAGCCGCACUGGUGGCGGGGCGUAUGGGUGUGGGUGUGGGUGUGGGUUGGGGUUGGGUUGGAGGUUGAUUGGAUGGAUGUGUGGUUCACACAUACACGUGUGCGUGCCGGAUAACCAUGCAGCCAUGCAGCAAUCAUACGGUACAUGUUAUUAUUGCAGGGAUGCGUCAUCUUGCUCAUCAGAAGCCUCCUCACUGGCUGGCCCCUGCUGGUCGCUCUUGGCUGGCUCGUCCCUCACCCACCGAUCCCUGGUUCUCGAUGGGCGGCAGGAAGCGGCGGUUGUCAACGGCGUCCGGGCACUGCUGGGAGGGCAUGUCCGGAUCUGGAUGGGGCAAAACACACACACAAGAAAGCUGUGUGCGCGGCCGAUGACUGCCCGUGCACAUGCACAAUGCCACAGGCAGCAGCCAUUCAAAUAAUGAACGCGCGCGGCGGGCAUGCAUUAAUAAGCAAGAUUAUAGCAAUCAUCUAUCUGCUGGGCACCAAGCAAUGACGCAAGCAGUUGCUGCGGCGCUUCUGCCAGGCAGUCCGUGCCGUACAUAUCAUCCUCGCUUGAUCCCACAGUCCAUCAUUCCUUGCCCUCACCAACGGCUGUGUAGGAGAAAAACCGAGAACUGGAGGCGGCGAUGAAACCUGAAGCGGAGGCCCGGCCCAGGUUGUUGUCCUGGUUGUUAUUGUUGUUUGGCUGCGAGCCCGGCGGGGGAGGUGGCCGCGGGGGUGGAGGCGGAGGAGGAGAUGGCGGCGAGGAGCGUGGAGGCGGCGGCCGCGGGGGGCGUGGAGGAGAGGGCGGCAGCGGCGGGGCCUUGGCCUUUUUCUUCUUGUUAUUCUUGGCGGUGGCAGGCCGCCGCUUCGCCGGCCGGCUGGCGGGGCCCUGCAGCAGCAUCUCGCGGCGGUCAUGAUGCGCCGCCGCCGCCGCCGCCUCGUCUUGCACCUGCUGCUGUCCCGCCGCCGCCGCCACUGACUCGCUGCCGCCGCCGCCCCCGGCGCCGCUGGCCGCACCGCCGCCGCCGCGCCAAGCCGCUAGGACGUGGAAGUCCAACAUGCUGGUGGUGUCCAUCUGGGUGAGAGGGUGGGAGGGUGGGAGGGCACGGUGGGAGGGUGAGGCAUGCCAACAGACACCAAGUAAGGAGAUGAGGCGGGGCCCGCCCUGGCGCCCAGGGCGAUUUGGUAGCAUGCACAAACCACGUCCCUACCUCCGAAGCUCCCUUGGCGUCCUGGCAAGCACCCGCUUCCCCUGUUAGCACUCGUUGGGUUCGUUCCACACCGCCCGGCGGAAACGUAAACCUUCGCUCCCACCCCACCCGCCCCACACAUUCCACCCCACGUUCUACCUCCGUGACCUACCAGGUAGGUGGCGGCUGGGUCGCUGUUGUGCGCCAGGGCCUCACGAACCGCGGACACGAACGCCGAGAAUACGGCAGAUCCCAGCCCGCCGUCUUCCGCGUCGUACGUCUUGCCGUACUGCUCGCACCACCGCCGGAAGCCGGCUUUGGGGUCAGCCUGCAUGGUGGCGGCGAUGCGGGGGCGGCAUGAAAGAGUUGGGUGAGUUGAGAGUGUGUGUGAAUAAUGUGCGUGCCUCAGGUGGGCGGCGGGGUGCCGCGUGGCCGGGGUUGCCGUUCUCCCAGCCCACGCACGCUAGCUACAGCUUCUUCCUAUGGCCAUUACGGUAUGCGACAGGGCCUACGCAACUACCUAACCCACCCACCACCCACCACCCAACCACCCAUCCAACCAUCCAAGCAACCAGUACCCACCCACCUGAUCGGCGCGCAGCCGCUGCAGCAACUGUGCAGUCGGCGCACCCGCCGAGCCGCCAUCCCCACCACCUCCUGCUGCGACGCCAGAGGAGCGAGUAGCGGCGGCAGUGCUGCCUCCACUGCCGCCAUGGCUGGCGCCAUCCAGCUCUUGCUGGGGCGUCGGCAGCAAUGCGCCGCCACACACCGUGACGCCCUCCGGGAAGGCCUCCGCAGCUUCCGCGGGCCCUUCUUGCUGCUGCUGGGGGUUCGCGGUGCUGUCUGGUACUACUGCCGUCGCCCUGCUACUGCUACUGCCACUACUGCCGCUGAGUACCCAAGAGGAGAUUGACCAGCCCUGCUGCUCGCAGGCACUUCCCUCGGCCCCGGCCAACAGCGCUGUGGCAUCUGCCGUGCGCGCCGUGUGCCUGCUGGCGGCUACGGCGCCCGCUUCAUGAGACGUCGUAUCCACAGCACGCGAGUCCGGCGCCGCGUCAGCUUCAGCGACGGCGGGGCAGUCAACACGUUGAAUGAGGACCCCGUUCCCCAGCUUGACCGUGUUCUGGGUGCAUCCUGCGGGCGGGAGAGGCAGGGGAGGACAGUUGGAGGACAGGGUUCGCUUCGACUUGUGUUGUAGUAGAACGGAGAAUAGCGCAGGCGUCUCGCUUGCCAGCACCUCACAAACCGUGAAUCGGAAGGCUUUGUCGGAAACUGCGAUCCACAGCGAUGAUGAGAUCAAGCAGCAGGCCCAGCGAGCGCAGAGCAUGGAGUGAACAUUGACGCUUGCAGGCGCACCGUCAGUGCGACCUACCUGUUAGGGUAAAUACUCCAGAGCUCACAGCCGAGCGAAAUGCGCAAUGGGCCAAGCAAACAAGCAGUAGUGCUGCUGCUUGCUGCGCUCGGACGCUGCAGUGCAUUCUCAUAUUUGCACAUGCUUUGACUAAUACCUGUAUGAUUACAUGCACAAUAAUUCUUGGCUACUUGCGCGCUCACAAAGGCGCCACUAAGCUGGCCACUAAGUCGUGGUUACACAGUUAUCGUGUAAUGUGAGUUCGCUGUGUGUGGUCGCUCGCCCCCGUGUGAGCGAUGCCUUCUCUGGAUUACAAAUUGAAUGUAUGCGCGGGUGGCAAAGCAUAGGCGCGCUUCUCAGUCGCCGACCUGUUUAUGCCUAGCUCACCCGCGGCCGCCCACCACGUCCGCCCACCUAUCCCAGCACCGACCCCCCCCCCUCCCCACGCCGCGGGUUGGCGCGCCCUCUUCAGAAGCCGUGAUGCUGUCGCAAACCUUGUAACCUAGCGGCAAUGGACUCACGCGUGCGUCGGUUAGCGGCUGUAUGUGGAGGAGAGCAGUGAAUAAGUAGGUGUGGGCGGAACGCCCGCCAAGAUGAGACUUGGGUGACCGCGUGUUCACUAGAAGACUCGUAAGAGGCAUAAGUUAGGGCCCAGCCCUGUCUCGAACAGGGAUCGUAACAGUAGAUCUAUUACAACUGGCCGGAACACUGGGCGUGGUGAUGGCUUAACUCGGCGCCAUCGGCCGUGCCUCUUAUCGUGUCUCAUCGUGUCUAGGUGUGUGAUGGGACAGUGUCAAGGCAGGUUGGGUGCAGCUGAUCAUCGUGUCUAGGUACUGCUACAGGAGGAUUCGAGGGUGCAUGACUGCAUGCUUGGUGGCAUGGAGGACGGGCGGGAAUUGAGGCUGCGAGAAUUGUGGUAAAAUUACUGAUGUGGACAGGUGUGGAGACCCCGAAGCCUUGAGAGAGACAGCAGUAAUGGCCCACUGACGCCGCGUAAGGUACUGCUAUUGGACACGCCUUAUUACAUGCCCAUACAGGCCCUUCGCCCUGGGCCCCCAGGGGCUCAUCACGCAGCAUCAAUGCUAGCAGUAGUGGAGUCAGCUAGCUUCGGCAGGGCGGGGGCCUUCAGUCCUCGAAGUGGACCAACCAUGCAUCCAGCGACCCACACGUAGUGCCCGCUGUCUGUCCAGGUCUGUCACAUACCGUCACUUCAACCCGGUGACACAUCAUCACAUACCGAAUGCGCACACGCACCCCAAUCUCCAAUAAAGCGAGUGCGCGAAAUCUACACACGCCACAUUCGCAAGUGACAGCCGCCCGUCCUUGCAGGGCAAGCAUCUCCGCGCACGGUCGCACGCUUCUCUAGCCCCAACGAACCGCCAACCACAAAUCGAGUCACACCCACCUCAGCAUUAGAAGUGCACAUCCGCCUGUCGAAGGUCGGAUGAUGAUAGGGCAACAAAUAGGUUCACUGCACCCAUGCAUGGAUGGAAAGAAUCAAUGGACCUGAUGUGGAUAUAGGAUCCGGCCUCCUCAAGGGUCCUCGCGCACUUACUAAAGAGCCAAGGGCUCUAGUAUGUAAGAAUCAAUGCCAGUCUCAAGUCAAGCACACCGAUGCCGCUUCCUGGCAUCUGGAAUGCCGGAAGGGUCGGAGGAACUUGCACCCACGGAACGUACACGUCGUGUCACUGACAGCCCACUCGAGUCUCGUAAACAGAAAACAUAGUGCCCGCUCCUGCAGCGAGCCAAGAUACGGUAACCUCGAUACUUCUUUGUGUCUCACCGCGGUACGCGCACAGACAUUAAUCUGCGGGCUCCCUCUCCGCACUCCUUCUGUCACUCCCGUGCGUCAGGUCUUUUCCGACGUCGCCUCCACUCCAUCUCCUACGUCCCAUGACUCACCUGUAGCCCCAGGCAGCCCUGCGUCCAUUGGCACAGCGCCCCUCGCCACCUGCCACCCUCUCGCUCAGCAAAGAAACGCACGCGCGGCAGCACAACACUAGCAGUCGUUCGUAUGGCUAAGGGAGGCUGCCGGUUCCCCGGUCCCAUACAGUCACACAUACGUAUACAUCUUAAAACACACCAGCAGGGUUUAGUUGGUGAUGUCUCAAUAAAUAUCGCACUGAGUGCUUGCUUGUGCAAGCAAUCCAGCAUCAAGUACGGCGAUUGACACUCCCGCUCGCUUACAUACGGCGUACUAGCAGUACAGCACGGCAACACUCGCGCGAAUCAGUCCUGUCUCCUGCGGUAAACGUCGAAUGGCACGCCCUGCUGUCGUGCUGACAAUGAGAAAUGUGCGGCGGCACAGCCCUGCUGGUUCACUUGAGAGUGGGCCCGAUCAGUAGCUAGUAGCGGCGAUUUGCCUAGCUGUCUAUACUUGCACGCAUACGCUGCAGGCUUUGCCGCCUGCCAUUCAACACACUCCUCAUGCCCUGCUGCUGGCUCGCUUCGAUACUGUACCAUCCACACACGUACGUGUGAGGAGCCCCUCUUGCGCCCGGCCACCAGCACCAAAGCUGCGGCGGCUGCGGCUGCUACUGCUACUGCUGCAUCUUCAAAUGGCGAAGGCAGCAAGCCGCUGGCUGCAGGCUCAUGCAGCUGACGGCGUAACACGGAAGCCAAACGGAACGGAGCGGGCCUUGCCGCUACCAGGCCGCCACCGCUGCCGGUGGCGGGAAGCAGCCGCACGCGCGCUCCAACGCGGCAAACUCCUCCAGCUCCCUUUCCUGCUCGGCCCACGCCGCCGCCGCCUGCUCCGCCAGGCCCUCCUUCAUCCAGUGUGCGAGCGACCCGAGGUCGAGCUCCUCCUCCUCCUCCUCAACGUCAUCCGCCCAGCGGCGGCCGCUGGGGGUGCCGCCGGUGCCGCUGACAGCUGCCGCCGCCGCCUGCUCCGCCAGGCCCUCCUUCAUCCAGUCUGCGAGCGACCCGAGGUCGAGCUCCUCCUCCGCCUCCUCGUGCGCCUCAACCUCAUCCGCCCAGCUACCGCUCGCGCCACCGCUGCUGCUAAUGCUGGCGCGAGGAGCAAUGCUGCUGCUGCUGCCGUCAGACUCUGACGCUGCCGCGGGCGCGGCCGGUGCGGCUUCCGCCUGCUGCUGCUCGGCCGCCGCGAGCUCCGCCAGUCCCUGCUUCACCCAGGGCGUCUGCUCAAAGAGGUCGCUCAGGUCGAGUCCGUCAGCCUCAUCCUCAUCAUCAUCGCCCCAUCGCGGCGUGGUCGAGCUGCGGUCGACGGUGGAGGUGGAGAUGGGGCUUGCAGCGGCGGCGGGCUUGGUCGGAGCCGCGAGCUUGGGCACCUUGGGCAGGCCGGGCGGCUUCUGCGGGCGCCAGUGGUUGUCGUAGGCAUGGCAAAGCUGGCAGGGGGCGCUCCUGCAGCCAGCAGAUAGGCUGGCAUAGCACCAGCGCAUGCAGGACUUGUGAGGAAAGCAGCAGGCGCUGGGGGCAGGCUCCUGCUGCUCCUGCUGGUGGGCGGCGGCGGAGGGCUCGCUCUCAUCAGAGCCGUGGCCUUGGCUGCGGGGCGUGUGGCGCCAGGCGUCCUGUGCAAACGAGAUCGGGGGAAAAGGAUAGAUGGGGGCGGACAAGCCGUGAGUGCACGGGACGAGGACAAGGGUCGGGGCGCAGAGGGCGGGACAAAGGACCGGGGGUCGGGGACUCGAGCCCCGGCAAAAAAGUCAGGCGCACCGGAAAGGCACGCGCUUUCGGUCAAAGCUGUUGACCGACGCAUUUUACGUGACAAUACAUGCAGCAAUAUGCAGCCAGUGUGGCCGCAGCAGCGCAAGAAGGAAGGCCGAGGAAGCCGAGCGCACUACCGUACUGGCCCGAAAUCUGCAACGCUAUCUAGCCCGCAUCAGAAGCCUAAUGCUUUGCAUGUGGCAUCGGAUACCCAUUGCAGUUGCUCAAGGCUCAAAAUGGCCGUGCCCGAACAUGAAUGGUGCUCACCUGCAUCGGUCGGCUCGGCUCGAAGUCAAGCCCCGGUGCACUUGCGCUUGACCGUGAUGUGGCCAUAGUAGCUCUUGACCGCAACAAGCACUCUUCGCGCGCAGAACUCGAUUCUGCUGCUAGCGCAAUUCUUUCGCUUGACGGAAACUUUUCCUCGCGGUGCCCGGGAGGGAUUCGCGCUAGGAGCUGCUAGUUCGUGACAGUGGUGGUGCUUGCCGCAGCUUUCAUGCGCAUGCGGUGGAAAUCGAGAGAGGUUGCGAACAGCCCUAGAAAUGCUCUUCUUUGCCGUCAGGUGCUCGUAGCUAAGCAGUGGGCGUAAAAGCUGUUUGCGAGAUGUCUUUGCAUCUGUUGAAUGUGCAAUAUGAGCACAGCGCGAAGCUUUUAUCCAGUGGCGGGGACAGUGUCUCGGGCGCCCAUGCAGGCGACACGCGCCCAAUCCCGAGCCUCCCUCCUCGCCUUUACCUUGUCCCUGGACCCGCGCCAUCCGUGUCCCGCUGUUCAAUUCCCGCGUUUCAUACCAGUUCCCCUCCCCUGCGCAGGCCGGUAACCCCUGAUCCCGCCGCUGCCGGGGAUGCAGCCGUGCAGGAUGAGGCCUGAUGAGGUUGACGGCUGGGGAAGUUGGUGUGGGGAAGUUGGUGUAGGUUGGCGGUGAUCCAGCGGGGUGGGUGCCGAUGUGCUAUAGCGGGCGCGAGGCUGUACACGUCAGGAUCUGGCGAGUGUACUGCUUAACACCUACCGCUACGCAGUACUCCGGCUUGCCCCUCCCCCCUCAGGGCGCUCCAUGCCGUGCGCCCCGGAAUGCGGUGUGGGGAUGGGGUGGGGUGGGAUGGACUGGCGGAUGGUGGAAGUAUCAUAUAGGUCUGCUGGGGGCUGCGAGCAGCCAUACUACCGGUCAUGAUAUUGCCUUCGGUAGCUCAGGGCGCCGCGGGCUGGGGGUGGGUAAGUGAGCGGGGAUGGGGGCUCGGACUCAGCGGGGGCACGGACUCAGGGCGUGGAAGCCAGCGAGAAGUGGGCGAGAGUAACGCCGAUGUGCCGGGUGAUGUGCGAGCAGAAUACAGAACGCGGCAUUCGUCAUUACGGGGAAACUAAAACAGAUAGCGCCAACCUUUUGCGCCUCGCGCUUUCGCGCGCAAUUUCCAGGAUCCUCCAACGCGUCGAUUCCUCCGUCUUGCGUCCUUCCGUGCCGGGAGCCUUGAUUAUCGAUACAAUUUGUGAUAUAUUGUAUGUUGCGCUGGAGCUCUAAUGCAAACGCUGCGCUUGUGCGUUUACCCCGCUCUGGCAUAGGGCUUGCGUUUUCAUAAUGUUACGCUUUGCAAUACAUACAUAGAAAGGCGCAUUAUUUGCACGACAAAUUCCGCUGCGCUCGGGUUUCAAGGUUAUAACUCAAGUCAAAACUGGAAUAACCGGGAGGGCCCCCCGCGGCGAGCUCGAUGCGACCGCAAUGGCUAUUGCCCCUCCCCCUUCGGGGGAAGGGGCAAGCCAACCUGGCUUUGUGAUGGCCCCCAAGCGUAGGUGAGGUAGGCGCACGGCGGUGACAAGGCAUGCGGCCAGUGGAACUGCCUUACAGUUACAGCCCGCCCAAGCGCGGUUGUUGCCUUGCCAUGAUUUCCGUGCAGUCUGCUAGCUUCGGCAGGGACGGUGCCCAUCAGUUCCCGAUGUUGACAAACCAUGCAUCCAGCCGCCCACACGUGCUCUCCGUUCGUCACAUACCGUACUCGAACUCCAAUGUCCGCAGAGCGUGUGCGCGAAAUCCACACGCCACACACGCAAGUGACAGCCGCCCGUCCUUGCACAGCAAGCAUCUCCGCGCACGGUCGCACGCUUCUCUAGCCCCAACGAACCGCAAACCACAAAUCAAGUCACACCCACCUCAGCAUUAGAAGUGCACACCCGCCUAUCGAAUGUCGGAUGAUGAUAAGGCAACAAGUAGGUCUAGAGAAAUGAAAGCUAGUAGGUCUACUGCACCCAUGCAUGGAUGGAAAGAAUCAAUGGACCUGUGGAUAUAGGAUCCGGCCUCCUCAAGGGUCCUCGCGCAUUUACUAAAGAGCCAAGGGGUCUAGUAUGUAAGAAUCAAUGCCAGUCUCAAGUCAAGCACACUGAUGCCGGUUCCUGGCAUCUGGAAUGCCAGAAGGGUCGGAGGAACUUGCACACACAGAACGUACACGUCGUGUCACUGACAGCCCACUCGAGUCUCGUAAACAGAAAACAUAGUGCCCGCUCCUGCAGCGAGCCAAGAUACGGUAACCUCGAUACUUCUUUGUGUGUCACCGCGGUACGCGCACACACACGGAUCCACGGGCUUCCUCUCCGCACUCCUUCUGUCACACCCGUGCGAUAGAUCGUUUCGGACGUCACCUCUCCUCCGUCCCAUUACGAACCUGUAGCCCCAGGCAGCCCUGCGUCCAUUGGCACAGCGCCCCUCGCCACCUGCCACCCUCCCGCUCAGCAAAUAAACGCACGCGCGAGAGCAAAACACCAGCAGGUCCAUAGUAUGGCCAAGGGAGGCUGCCGGUUCCCCGGUCCCAUACAGUCACACAUACAUCUUAUUAAGAAACAUCAGCAGGGUUUAGUUGGCAAGUCUCAGUAGAGAAAUAGACAUCCAUACAUCACCCAAUGCGCGUGGCAAUAUCGCACUGAGUGCUUGCUUGCGCUAGCAAUCCAGCAUCAAGUACGGCCUUUGACACUCCCGCUCGCUCACAUACGGUGAAAUAUCAGUACAGCACGGCAACACUUGCGCGAAUCAGUCCUGACUCCUGCGGUAAACGCCGACUACCGUAGCACGCCCUGCUGUCGUGCUGACAAUGAGAAAUGUGCGGCGGCACAGCCCUGCUGGUUCACUUGAUAGUGGGCCCGAUCAGUAGCUAGUAGCGGCGAUUUGCCUAGCUGUCUAUACUUGCACGCAUACGCUGCAGGCUUUGCCGCCUGCCAUUCAACACACUCCUCAUGCCCUGCUGCUGGCUCGCUUCGAUACUGUACCAUCCACACACGUACGUGUGAGGAGCCCCUCUUGCGCCCGGCCACCAGCACCAAAGCUGCGGCGGCUGCGGCUGCUACUGCUACUGCUGCAUCUUCAAAUGGCGAAGGCAGCAAGCCGCUGGCUGCAGGCUCAUGCAGCUGACGGCGUAACACGGAAGCCAAACGGAACGGAGCGGGCCUUGCCGCUACCAGGCCGCCACCGCUGCCGGUGGCGGGAAGCAGCCGCACGCGCGCUCCAACGCGGCAAACUCCUCCAGCUCCCUUUCCUGCUCGGCCCACGCCGCCGCCGCCAGCUCGAGCGGCCGCCGCUGGGGGUGCCGCCGGUACCGCUGGCAGCUGAUGCCGCCGCCGCCUGCUCCGCCAGGCCCUCCUUCAUCCAGUGUGCGAGCGACCCGAGGUCGAGCUCCUCCUCCUCCUCCUCAACGUCAUCCGCCCAGCGGCGGCCGCUGGGGGUGCCGCCGGUGCCGCUGACAGCUGCCGCCGCCGCCUGCUCCGCCAGGCCCUCCUUCAUCCAGUCUGCGAGCGACCCGAGGUCGAGCUCCUCCUCCGCCUCCUCGUGCGCCUCAACCUCAUCCGCCCAGCUACCGCUCGCGCCACCGCUGCUGCUAAUGCUGGCGCGAGGAGCAAUGCUGCUGCUGCUGCCGUCAGACUCUGACGCUGCCGCGGGCGCGGCCGGUGCGGCUUCCGCCUGCUGCUGCUCGGCCGCCGCGAGCUCCGCCAGUCCCUGCUUCACCCAGGGCGUCUGCUCAAAGAGGUCGCUCAGGUCGAGUCCGUCAGCCUCAUCCUCAUCAUCAUCGCCCCAUCGCGGCGUGGUCGAGCUGCGGUCGACGGUGGAGGUGGAGAUGGGGCUUGCAGCGGCGGCGGGCUUGGUCGGAGCCGCGAGCUUGGGCACCUUGGGCAGGCCGGGCGGCUUCUGCGGGCGCCAGUGGUUGUCGUAGGCAUGGCAAAGCUGGCAGGGGGCGCUCCUGCAGCCAGCAGAUAGGCUGGCAUAGCACCAGCGCAUGCAGGACUUGUGAGGAAAGCAGCAGGCGCUGGGGGCAGGCUCCUGCUGCUCCUGCUGGUGGGCGGCGGCGGAGGGCUCGCUCUCAUCAGAGCCGUGGCCUUGGCUGCGGGGCGUGUGGCGCCAGGCGUCCUGUGCAAACGAGAUCGGGGGAAAAGGAUAGAUGGGGGCGGACAAGCCGUGAGUGCACGGGACGAGGACAAGGGUCGGGGCGCAGAGGGCGGGACAAAGGACCGGGGGUCGGGGACUCGAGCCCCGGCAAAAAAGUCAGGCGCACCGGAAAGGCACGCGCUUUCGGUCAAAGCUGUUGACCGACGCAUUUUACGUGACAAUACAUGCAGCAAUAUGCAGCCAGUGUGGCCGCAGCAGCGCAAGAAGGAAGGCCGAGGAAGCCGAGCGCACUACCGUACUGGCCCGAAAUCUGCAACGCUAUCUAGCCCGCAUCAGAAGCCUAAUGCUUUGCAUGUGGCAUCGGAUACCCAUUGCAGUUGCUCAAGGCUCAAAAUGGCCGUGCCCGAACAUGAAUGGUGCUCACCUGCAUCGGUCGGCUCGGCUCGAAGUCAAGCCCCGGUGCACUUGCGCUUGACCGUGAUGUGGCCAUAGUAGCUCUUGACCGCAACAAGCACUCUUCGCGCGCAGAACUCGAUUCUGCUGCUAGCGCAAUUCUUUCGCUUGACGGAAACUUUUCCUCGCGGUGCCCGGGAGGGAUUCGCGCUAGGAGCUGCUAGUUCGUGACAGUGGUGGUGCUUGCCGCAGCUUUCAUGCGCAUGCGGUGGAAAUCGAGAGAGGUUGCGAACAGCCCUAGAAAUGCUCUUCUUUGCCGUCAGGUGCUCGUAGCUAAGCAGUGGGCGUAAAAGCUGUUUGCGAGAUGUCUUUGCAUCUGUUGAAUGUGCAAUAUGAGCACAGCGCGAAGCUUUUAUCCAGUGGCGGGGACAGUGUCUCGGGCGCCCAUGCAGGCGACACGCGCCCAAUCCCGAGCCUCCCUCCUCGCCUUUACCUUGUCCCUGGACCCGCGCCAUCCGUGUCCCGCUGUUCAAUUCCCGCGUUUCAUACCAGUUCCCCUCCCCUGCGCAGGCCGGUAACCCCUGAUCCCGCCGCUGCCGGGGAUGCAGCCGUGCAGGAUGAGGCCUGAUGAGGUUGACGGCUGGGGAAGUUGGUGUGGGGAAGUUGGUGUAGGUUGGCGGUGAUCCAGCGGGGUGGGUGCCGAUGUGCUAUAGCGGGCGCGAGGCUGUACACGUCAGGAUCUGGCGAGUGUACUGCUUAACACCUACCGCUACGCAGUACUCCGGCUUGCCCCUCCCCCCUCAGGGCGCUCCAUGCCGUGCGCCCCGGAAUGCGGUGUGGGGAUGGGGUGGGGUGGGAUGGACUGGCGGAUGGUGGAAGUAUCAUAUAGGUCUGCUGGGGGCUGCGAGCAGCCAUACUACCGGUCAUGAUAUUGCCUUCGGUAGCUCAGGGCGCCGCGGGCUGGGGGUGGGUAAGUGAGCGGGGAUGGGGGCUCGGACUCAGCGGGGGCACGGACUCAGGGCGUGGAAGCCAGCGAGAAGUGGGCGAGAGUAACGCCGAUGUGCCGGGUGAUGUGCGAGCAGAAUACAGAACGCGGCAUUCGUCAUUACGGGGAAACUAAAACAGAUAGCGCCAACCUUUUGCGCCUCGCGCUUUCGCGCGCAAUUUCCAGGAUCCUCCAACGCGUCGAUUCCUCCGUCUUGCGUCCUUCCGUGCCGGGAGCCUUGAUUAUCGAUACAAUUUGUGAUAUAUUGUAUGUUGCGCUGGAGCUCUAAUGCAAACGCUGCGCUUGUGCGUUUACCCCGCUCUGGCAUAGGGCUUGCGUUUUCAUAAUGUUACGCUUUGCAAUACAUACAUAGAAAGGCGCAUUAUUUGCACGACAAAUUCCGCUGCGCUCGGGUUUCAAGGUUAUAACUCAAGUCAAAACUGGAAUAACCGGGAGGGCCCCCCGCGGCGAGCUCGAUGCGACCGCAAUGGCUAUUGCCCCUCCCCCUUCGGGGGAAGGGGCAAGCCAACCUGGCUUUGUGAUGGCCCCCAAGCGUAGGUGAGGUAGGCGCACGGCGGUGACAAGGCAUGCGGCCAGUGGAACUGCCUUACAGUUACAGCCCGCCCAAGCGCGGUUGUUGCCUUGCCAUGAUUUCCGUGCAGUCUGCUAGCUUCGGCAGGGACGGUGCCCAUCAGUUCCCGAUGUUGACAAACCAUGCAUCCAGCCGCCCACACGUGCUCUCCGUUCGUCACAUACCGUACUCGAACUCCAAUGUCCGCAGAGCGUGUGCGCGAAAUCCACACGCCACACACGCAAGUGACAGCCGCCCGUCCUUGCACAGCAAGCAUCUCCGCGCACGGUCGCACGCUUCUCUAGCCCCAACGAACCGCAAACCACAAAUCAAGUCACACCCACCUCAGCAUUAGAAGUGCACACCCGCCUAUCGAAUGUCGGAUGAUGAUAAGGCAACAAGUAGGUCUAGAGAAAUGAAAGCUAGUAGGUCUACUGCACCCAUGCAUGGAUGGAAAGAAUCAAUGGACCUGUGGAUAUAGGAUCCGGCCUCCUCAAGGGUCCUCGCGCAUUUACUAAAGAGCCAAGGGGUCUAGUAUGUAAGAAUCAAUGCCAGUCUCAAGUCAAGCACACUGAUGCCGGUUCCUGGCAUCUGGAAUGCCAGAAGGGUCGGAGGAACUUGCACACACAGAACGUACACGUCGUGUCACUGACAGCCCACUCGAGUCUCGUAAACAGAAAACAUAGUGCCCGCUCCUGCAGCGAGCCAAGAUACGGUAACCUCGAUACUUCUUUGUGUGUCACCGCGGUACGCGCACACACACGGAUCCACGGGCUUCCUCUCCGCACUCCUUCUGUCACACCCGUGCGAUAGAUCGUUUCGGACGUCACCUCUCCUCCGUCCCAUUACGAACCUGUAGCCCCAGGCAGCCCUGCGUCCAUUGGCACAGCGCCCCUCGCCACCUGCCACCCUCCCGCUCAGCAAAUAAACGCACGCGCGAGAGCAAAACACCAGCAGGUCCAUAGUAUGGCCAAGGGAGGCUGCCGGUUCCCCGGUCCCAUACAGUCACACAUACAUCUUAUUAAGAAACAUCAGCAGGGUUUAGUUGGCAAGUCUCAGUAGAGAAAUAGACAUCCAUACAUCACCCAAUGCGCGUGGCAAUAUCGCACUGAGUGCUUGCUUGCGCUAGCAAUCCAGCAUCAAGUACGGCCUUUGACACUCCCGCUCGCUCACAUACGGUGAAAUAUCAGUACAGCACGGCAACACUUGCGCGAAUCAGUCCUGACUCCUGCGGUAAACGCCGACUACCGUAGCACGCCCUGCUGUCGUGCUGACAAUGAGAAAUGUGCGGCGGCACAGCCCUGCUGGUUCACUUGAUAGUGGGCCCGAUCAGUAGCUAGUAGCGGCGAUUUGCCUAGCUGUCUAUACUUGCACGCAUACGCUGCGGGUGUGCCUCACAUACCAUAAUACCCAGUGCUGCUUCUUUCGCAUAUAACACACGCUCAGCAUGCCCUGCUGGCUCACUUCGAUACUGUGCCAUCCACACACGUACGUGUGACGAGCCCCUCUUGCGAACGGCCGCCGGCACCACAGCUGCGGCGGCUGCGGCUGCUGCUGCUCCUGCUGCUGCUACUGCUACUGCUGCAUCUUCAAAUGGCGAGGGCAGCAAGCCGCUGGCUGCAGGGCUCAUGCAGCUGACGGCGUAACACGGAAGCCAAACGGAACGGAGCGGCCCUUGCCGCUACCAGGCCGCCACCGCUGCCGGUGGCGGGAAGCAGCCGCACGCGCGCUCCAACGCGGCAAACUCCUCCAGCUCCCGCUCCUGCUCAGCCCACGCCGCCGCCGCCAGCUCCAUCGCCAGGCGCAGGCGCGAGGGCAUCACAGCUGACUGCCACUCAUCACCCUGCUGCACCGCCGCGAUCGGCGGAACGACACAGCUGCCCAUGCUGCUGCCGGCGGCGGUGCAGGCCUCCUUGUCAGCGCUAUGCUCCUCCACUGCCGCCUCCACCAACUCCACCUGCUGCGGCGUCUCACUGCCUGCCGCCGCCGCCACCCAGACCAGACUGCAGCUGCUGGCGCUGCGGCUGGUGCGGGCGCUGUCCGGCACGGCGCAGCAGCACGAGCUGAGCGGCGAGUCAGGCGCGUCCAGCCGCUCAGUGACGACGGCCACCUCCUGCGCCGCUUCGGCCGCCGCCGGCACGCACUCGCCCUGGGCCUCUGCUUUCCCCAUCGCCGCCAGCUCCGCCGCCAUCCAGGGCGACAGCGAGGCGAGGUAGGCGCCGAAAUCGCCGGCCUCCUCCGCCUCAACGUCAUCCGCCCAGCGGCGGCCGUUGGGGAUGCCGCCGGUGCCGCUGGCAGCUGCCGCCGCCGCCUGCUCCGCCAGGCCCUCCUUCAGCCAAUCUGCGAGCGACCCGAGGUCGAGCUCCUCCUCCGCCUCCUCAUGCGCCUCAACCUCAUCCGCCCAGCUACCGCUCGCGCCACCGCUGCUGCUAAUGCUGGCGCGAGGAGCAAUGCUGCUGCUGCUGCUGCUGCUGCUGCUGCCGUCAGACUCUGACGCUGCCGCGGGCACGGCCGGUGCGGCUUCCGCCUGCUGCUGCUCGGCCGCCGCGAGCUCCGCCAGUCCCUGCUUCACCCAGGGCGUCUGCUCAAAGAGGUCGCUCAGGUCGAGUCCGUCAGCCUCAUCCUCAUCAUCAUCGCCCCAUCGCGGCGUGGUCGAGCUGCGGUCGACGGUGGAGGUGGAGAUGGGGCUUGCAGCGGCGGCGGGCUUGGUCGGGGCGGCGGGCUUGGUCGGAGCCGCGAGCUUGGGCACCUUGGGCAGGCCGGGCGGCUUCUGCGGGCGCCAGUGGUUGUCGUAGGCAUGGCAAAGCUGGCAAGGGGCGCUCCUGCAGCCAGCAGAUAGGCUGGCAUAGCACCAGCGCAUGCAGGACUUGUGAGGAAAGCAGCAGGCGCUGGGGGCGGGCUCCUGCUGCUCCUGCUGGUGGGCGGCGGCGGAGGGCUCGCUCUCAUCAGAGCCGUGGCCUUGGCUGCGGGGCGUGUGGCGCCAGGCGUCCUGUGCAAACGAGAUCGGGGGAAAAGGAUAGAUGGGGGCGGACAAGCCGUGAGUGCACGGGACGAGGACAAGGGUCGGGGCGCAGAGGGCGGGAGAAAGGGCCGGGGGUCGGGGGCUCGGGCCCCGGCAAAAAAGUCAGGCGCACCGGAAAGGCACGCGCUUUCGGUCAAAGCUGUUGACCGACGCAUUUUACGAGACAAUACAUGCAGCAAUAUGCAGCCAGUGUGGCCGCAGCAGCGCAAGAAGGAACGCCGAGGAAGCUGAGCGCACUACUGGCCCGAAAUCUGCAACGCUAUCUAGCCCGCAUCAGAAGCCUAAUGCUUUGCAUGUGGCAUCGGAUACCCAUUGCAGCUGCUCAAGGCUCAAAAUGGCCGUGCCCGAACAUGAAUGGUGCUCACCUGCAUCGGUCGGCUCGGCUCGAAGUCAAGCCCCGGUGCACUUGCGAUUGACCGUGAUGUGGCCAUAGUAGCUCUCGACCGCACCAAGCACUCUUCGCGCGCAGAACUCGAUUCUGCUGCUAGCGCAAUUCUUUCGCUUGACGGAAACUUUUCCUCGCGGUGCCCGGGAGGGAUUCGCGCUAGGAGCUGCUAGCUCGUGACAGUGGUGGUGCUUGCCGCAGCUUUCAUGCGCAUGCGGUGGAAAUCGAGAGAGGUCGCGAACAGCCCUAGAAAUGCUCUUCUUUGCCGUCAGGUGCUCGUAGCUAAGCAGUGGGCGUAAAAGCUGUUUGUGAGAUGUCUUUGCAUCUGUUGAAUGUGCAAUAUGAGCACAGCGCGAAGCUUUUAUCCAGUGGCGGGGACAGGGUCUCGGGCGCCCAUGCAGGCGACACGCGCCCAAUCCCGAGCCUCCCACUCCUCGCCUGUACCUUGUCCCUGGACCCGCGCCAUCCGUGUCCCGCUGUUCAAUUCCCGCGUUUCAUACCAGCUCCCCUCCCCUGCGUAGGCCGGUAACCCCUGAUCCCGCCGCUGCCGGGGAUGCAGCCGUGCAGGAUGAGGUUGACGGCUGGGGAAGUUGUUGUGGGGAAGUUGGUGUAGGUUGGCGGUGAUCCAGCGGGGUGGGUGCCGAUGUGCUAUAGCGGGCGCGAGGCUGUACACGUCAGGAUCUGGCGAGUGUACUGCUCAAGCUGGCUUUGUGAUGGCCCCCAAGCGUAGGUGAGGUAGGCGCACGGCGGUGACAAGGCAUGCGGCCAGUGGAACUGCCUUACAGUUACAGCCCGCCCAAGCGCGGUUGUUGCCCUGCCAUGAUUUCCGUGCAGUCUGCUAGCUUCGGCAGGGACGGUGCCCAUCAGUUCCCGAUGUUGACAAACCAUGCAUCCAGCCGCCCACACGUGCUCUUCGUUCGUCACAUACCGUACUCGAACUCCAAUGUCCACAGAGCGUGUGCGCGAAAUCCACACGCCACACACGCAAGUGACAGCCGCCCGUCCUUGCACAGCAAGCAUCUCCGCGCACGGUCGCACGCUUCUCUAGCCCCAACGAACCGCAAACCACAAAUCAAGUCACACCCACCUCAGCAUUAGAAGUGCACACCCGCCUAUCGAAUGUCGGAUGAUGAUAAGGCAACAAGUAGGUCUAGAGAAAUGAAAGCUAGUAGGUCUACUGCACCCAUGCAUGGAUGGAAAGAAUCAAUGGACCUGUGGAUAUAGGAUCCGGCCUUCUCAAGGGUCCUCGCGCAUUUACUAAAGAGCCAAGGGGUCUAGUAUGUAAGAAUCAAUGCCAGUCUCAAGUCAAGCACACUGCUGCCGCUUCCUGGCAUCUGGAAUGCCGGAAGGGUCGGAGGAACUUGCACCCACAGAACGUACACGUCGUGUCACUGACAGCCCACUCGAGUCUUGUAAACAGUAAGAAUAGUGCCCGCUCCUGCAGCGAGCCAAGAUACGGUAACCUCGAUACUUCUUUGUGUCUCACCGCGGUACGCGCACAGACAUUAAUCUGCGGGCUCCCUCUCCGCACUCCUUCUGUCACUCCCGUGCGUCAGGUCGUUUCCGACGUCGCCUCCACUCCAUCUCCUACGUCCCAUGACUCACCUGUAGCCCCAGGCAGCCCUGCGUCCAUUGGCACAGCGCCCCUCGCCACCUGCCACCCUCUCGCUCAGCAAAUGAACGCACGCACGAUAGCAAAACACCAGCAGUCCGUAGUAUGGCCAAGGGGGGCUGCCGGUUCCCCGGUCCCAUACAGUCACACAUACAUCUUAUUAAGAAACAUCAGCAGGGUUUAUUUGGCGAGUCUCAGUAGAGAAAUAGACAUCCCUACAUCACCCAAUGCGCAUGGCAAUAUCGCACUGAGUGCUUGCUUGCGCAAGCAAUCCAGCAUCAAGUGCGGCCUUUGACACUCCCGCUCGCUCACAUACGGUGUAUUAUCAGUACAGCACGGCAACACUCGCGCGAAUCAGUCCUGUCUCCUGCGGUAAACGCCGACUACCGUAGCACGCCCUGCUGUCGUGCUGACAAUGAGAAAUGUGCGGCGGCACAGCCCUGCUGGUUCACUUGAUAGUGAAUGGGCCCGAUCAGUAGCUAGUAGCGGCGAUUAGCCUAGCUGUCUAUACUUGCACGCAUACGCUGCGGGUGUGCCUCACAUACCAUAAUACCCAGUGCUGCUUCUUUCGCAUAUAACACACGCUCAGCAUGCCCUGCUGGCUCACUUCGAUACUGUGCCAUCCACACACGUACGUGUGACGAGCCCCUCUUGCGAACGGCCGCCGGCACCACAGCUGCGGCGGCUGCGGCUGCUGCUGCUCCUGCUGCUGCUACUGCUACUGCUGCAUCUUCAAAUGGCGAGGGCAGCAAGCCGCUGGCUGCAGGGCUCAUGCAGCUGACGGCGUAACACGGAAGCCAAACGAAACGGAGCGGCCCUUGCCGCUACCAGGCCGCCACCGCUGCCGGUGGCGGGAAGCAGCCGCACGCGCGCUCCAACGCGGCAAACUCCUCCAGCUCCCGCUCCUGCUCAGCCCACGCCGCCGCCGCCAGCUCCAUCGCCAGGCGCAGGCGCGAGGGCAUCACAGCUGACUGCCACUCAUCACCCUGCUGCACCGCCGCGAUCGGCGGAACGACACAGCUGCCCAUGCUGCUGCCGGCGGCGGUGCAGGCCUCCUUGUCAGCGCUAUGCUCCUCCACUGCCGCCUCCACCAACUCCACCUGCUGCGGCGUCUCACUGCCUGCCGCCGCCGCCACCCAGACCAGACUGCAGCUGCUGGCGCUGCGGCUGGUGCGGGCGCUGUCCGGCACGGCGCAGCAGCACGAGCUGAGCGGCGAGUCAGGCGCGUCCAGCCGCUCAGUGACGACGGCCACCUCCUGCGCCGCUUCGGCCGCCGCCGGCACGCACUCGCCCUGGGCCUCUGCUUUCCCCAUCGCCGCCAGCUCCGCCGCCAUCCAGGGCGACAGCGAGGCGAGGUAGGCGCCGAAAUCGCCGGCCUCCUCCGCCUCAACGUCAUCCGCCCAGCGGCGGCCGUUGGGGGUGCCGCCGGUGCCGCUGGCAGCUGCCGCCGCCGCCUGCUCCGCCAGGCCCUCCUUCAGCCAAUCUGCGAGCGACCCGAGGUCGAGCUCCUCCUCCGCCUCCUCAUGCGCCUCAACCUCAUCCGCCCAGCUACCGCUCGCGCCACCGCUGCUGCUAAUGCUGGCGCGAGGAGCAAUGCUGCUGCUGCUGCUGCUGCUGCUGCUGCUGCUGCUGCUGCUGCCGUCAGACUCUGACGCUGCCGCGGGCACGGCCGGUGCGGCUUCCGCCUGCUGCUGCUCGGCCGCCGCGAGCUCCGCCAGUCCCUGCUUCACCCAGGGCGUCUGCUCAAAGAGGUCGCUCAGGUCGAGUCCGUCAGCCUCAUCCUCAUCAUCAUCGCCCCAUCGCGGCGUGGUCGAGCUGCGGUCGACGGUGGAGGUGGAGAUGGGGCUUGCAGCGGCGGCGGGCUUGGUCGGGGCGGCGGGCUUGGUCGGAGCCGCGAGCUUGGGCACCUUGGGCAGGCCGGGCGGCUUCUGCGGGCGCCAGUGGUUGUCGUAGGCAUGGCAAAGCUGGCAAGGGGCGCUCCUGCAGCCAGCAGAUAGGCUGGCAUAGCACCAGCGCAUGCAGGACUUGUGAGGAAAGCAGCAGGCGCUGGGGGCGGGCUCCUGCUGCUCCUGCUGGUGGGCGGCGGCGGAGGGCUCGCUCUCAUCAGAGCCGUGGCCUUGGCUGCGGGGCGUGUGGCGCCAGGCGUCCUGUGCAAACGAGAUCGGGGGAAAAGGAUAGAUGGGGGCGGACAAGCCGUGAGUGCACGGGACGAGGACAAGGGUCGGGGCGCAGAGGGCGGGAGAAAGGGCCGGGGGUCGGGGGCUCGGGCCCCGGCAAAAAAGUCAGGCGCACCGGAAAGGCACGCGCUUUCGGUCAAAGCUGUUGACCGACGCAUUUUACGAGACAAUACAUGCAGCAAUAUGCAGCCAGUGUGGCCGCAGCAGCGCAAGAAGGAACGCCGAGGAAGCCGAGCGCACUACUGGCCCGAAAUCUGCAACGCUAUCUAGCCCGCAUCAGAAGCCUAAUGCUUUGCAUGUGGCAUCGGAUACCCAUUGCAGCUGCUCAAGGCUCAAAAUGGCCGUGCCCGAACAUGAAUGGUGCUCACCUGCAUCGGUCGGCUCGGCUCGAAGUCAAGCCCCGGUGCACUUGCGAUUGACCGUGAUGUGGCCAUAGUAGCUCUCGACCGCACCAAGCACUCUUCGCGCGCAGAACUCGAUUCUGCUGCUAGCGCAAUUCUUUCGCUUGACGGAAACUUUUCCUCGCGGUGCCCGGGAGGGAUUCGCGCUAGGAGCUGCUAGCUCGUGACAGUGGUGGUGCUUGCCGCAGCUUUCAUGCGCAUGCGGUGGAAAUCGAGAGAGGUCGCGAACAGCCCUAGAAAUGCUCUUCUUUGCCGUCAGGUGCUCGUAGCUAAGCAGUGGGCGUAAAAGCUGUUUGUGAGAUGUCUUUGCAUCUGUUGAAUGUGCAAUAUGAGCACAGCGCGAAGCUUUUAUCCAGUGGCGGGGACAGGGUCUCGGGCGCCCAUGCAGGCGACACGCGCCCAAUCCCGAGCCUCCCACUCCUCGCCUGUACCUUGUCCCUGGACCCGCGCCAUCCGUGUCCCGCUGUUCAAUUCCCGCGUUUCAUACCAGCUCCCCUCCCCUGCGUAGGCCGGUAACCCCUGAUCCCGCCGCUGCCGGGGAUGCAGCCGUGCAGGAUGAGGUUGACGGCUGGGGAAGUUGGUGUGGGGAAGUUGGUGUAGGUUGGCGGUGAUCCAGCGGGGUGGGUGCCGAUGUGCUAUAGCGGGCGCGAGGCUGUACACGUCAGGAUCUGGCGAGUGUACUGCUCAAGCUGGCUUUGUGAUGGCCCCCAAGCGUAGGUGAGGUAGGCGCACGGCGGUGACAAGGCAUGCGGCCAGUGGAACUGCCUUACAGUUACAGCCCGCCCAAGCGCGGUUGUUGCCCUGCCAUGAUUUCCGUGCAGUCUGCUAGCUUCGGCAGGGACGGUGCCCAUCAGUUCCCGAUGUUGACAAACCAUGCAUCCAGCCGCCCACACGUGCUCUUCGUUCGUCACAUACCGUACUCGAACUCCAAUGUCCACAGAGCGUGUGCGCGAAAUCCACACGCCACACACGCAAGUGACAGCCGCCCGUCCUUGCACAGCAAGCAUCUCCGCGCACGGUCGCACGCUUCUCUAGCCCCAACGAACCGCAAACCACAAAUCAAGUCACACCCACCUCAGCAUUAGAAGUGCACACCCGCCUAUCGAAUGUCGGAUGAUGAUAAGGCAACAAGUAGGUCUACUGCACCCAUGCAUGGAUGGAAAGAAUCAAUGGACCUGUGGAUAUAGGAUCCGGCCUUCUCAAGGGUCCUCGCGCAUUUACUAAAGAGCCAAGGGGUCUAGUAUGUAAGAAUCAAUGCCAGUCUCAAGUCAAGCACACUGCUGCCGCUUCCUGGCAUCUGGAAUGCCGGAAGGGUCGGAGGAACUUGCACCCACAGAACGUACACGUCGUGUCACUGACAGCCCACUCGAGUCUUGUAAACAGUAAGAAUAGUGCCCGCUCCUGCAGCGAGCCAAGAUACGGUAACCUCGAUACUUCUUUGUGUCUCACCGCGGUACGCGCACAGACAUUAAUCUGCGGGCUCCCUCUCCGCACUCCUUCUGUCACUCCCGUGCGUCAGGUCGUUUCCGACGUCGCCUCCACUCCAUCUCCUACGUCCCAUGACUCACCUGUAGCCCCAGGCAGCCCUGCGUCCAUUGGCACAGCGCCCCUCGCCACCUGCCACCCUCUCGCUCAGCAAAUGAACGCACGCACGAUAGCAAAACACCAGCAGUCCGUAGUAUGGCCAAGGGGGGCUGCCGGUUCCCCGGUCCCAUACAGUCACACAUACAUCUUAUUAAGAAACAUCAGCAGGGUUUAUUUGGCGAGUCUCAGUAGAGAAAUAGACAUCCCUACAUCACCCAAUGCGCAUGGCAAUAUCGCACUGAGUGCUUGCUUGCGCAAGCAAUCCAGCAUCAAGUGCGGCCUUUGACACUCCCGCUCGCUCACAUACGGUGUAUUAUCAGUACAGCACGGCAACACUCGCGCGAAUCAGUCCUGUCUCCUGCGGUAAACGCCGACUACCGUAGCACGCCCUGCUGUCGUGCUGACAAUGAGAAAUGUGCGGCGGCACAGCCCUGCUGGUUCACUUGAUAGUGGGCCCGAUCAGUAGCUAGUAGCGGCGAUUUGCCUAGCCGUCUAUACUUGCACGCAUACGCUGCGGGUGUGCCUCACAUACCAUAAUACCCAGUGCUGCUUCUUUCGCAUAUAACACACGCUCAGCAUGCCCUGCUGGCUCACUUCGAUACUGUACCAUCCACACACGUACGUGUGACGAGCCCCUGUUGCAAAAGGCCGCCGGCACCACAGCUGCGGCUGCUGCGGCUGCUGCUGCCGCUGCUACUGCUGCAUCUUCAAAUGGCGAAGGCAGCAAGCCGCUGGCUGCUGGGCUCAUGCAGCUGACGGCGUAACACGGAAUGAAGCCAAACGGAACGGAGCGGCCCUUGCCGCUACCAGGCCGCCACCGCUGCCGGUGGCGGGAAGCAGCCGCACGCGCGCUCCAACGCGGCAAACUCCUCCAGCUCCCGCUCCUGCUCGGCCCACGCCGCCGCCGCCAGCUCGAUCGCCAGGCGCAGGCGCGAGGGCAUCACAGCUGACUGCCACUCAUCACCCUGCUGCACUGCCGCAAUUGGCGGAACGACACAGCUGCCCAUGCUGCUGCCGGCGGCGGUGCAGGCCUCCUUGUCAAUGCUCUGCCGCUCCGCUGCCACCUCCACCGCCUCCACCUGCUGCGGCGUCUCACUGCCUGCCGCCGCCGCCACCCAGACCAGACUGCAGCUGCUGGCGCUGCGGCUGGUGCGGGCGCUGUCCGGCACGGCGCAGCAGCACGAGCUGAGCGGCGAGUCAGGCGCGUCCGGCCGCUCAGUGACAACGGCCACCUCCUGCUCCGCUUCGGCCGCCGCCGGCACGCACUCGCCCUGGGCCUCUGCUUUCCCCAUCGCCGCCAGCUCCGCCGCCAUCCAGGGCGACAGCGAGGCGAGGUAGGCGCCGAAAUCGUCGGCCUCCUCCUCCUCGACGUCAUCCGCCCAGCGGCGGCCGCUGGGGGUGCCGCCGGUGCCGCUGGCAGAUCCCGCCGCCGCCUGCUCCGCCAGGCCCUCCUUCAACCAAUCUGCAAGCGACCCGAGGUCGAGCUCCUCCUCCUCCUCCGCCUCCUCGUGCGCCUCGACUUCAUCCGCCCAGCUACCGCUCGCGCCACCGCUGCUGCUAAUGCUGGCGCGAGGAGCAAUGCUGCUGCUGCUACUGCUGCUGCUGCUGCCGUCAGACUCUGACGCUGCCGCGGGCGCGGCCGGUGCGGCUUCCGCCUGCUGCUGCUCGGCCGCCGCGAGCUCCGCCAGUCCCUGCUUCACCCAGGGCGUCUGCUCAAAGAGGUCGCUCAGGUCGAGUCCGUCAGCCUCAUCCUCAUCAUCAUCGCCCCAUCGCGGCGUGGUCGAGCUGCGGUCGACGGUGGAGGUGGAGAUGGGGCUGGCAGCGGCGGCGGGCUUGGUCGGGGCGGCGGGCUUGGUCGGAGCCGCGAGCUUGGGCACCUUGGGCAGGCCGGGCGGCUUCUGCGGGCGCCAGUGGUUGUCGUAGGCAUGGCAAAGCUGGCAGGGGGCGCUCCUGCAGCCAGCAGAUAGGCUGGCAUAGCACCAGCGGAUGCAGAACUUGUGGGGAAAGCAGCAGGCGCUGGGGCCGGGCUCCUGCUGCUCCUGCUGGUGGGCGGCGGCGGAGGGCUCGCUCUCAUCAGAGCCAUGGCCUUGGCUGCGGGGCGUGUGGCGCCAGGCGUCCUGUGCAAACGAGAUCGGGGGAAAGGAUAGAUGGGGGCGGACAAGCCGUGAGUGCACGGGACGAGGACAAGGGUCGGGGCGCAGAGGGCGGGACAAAGGGCCGGGGGUCGGGGGCUCGAGCCCCGGCAAAAAAGUCAGGCGCACCGGAAAGGCACGCGCUUUCGGUCAAAGCUGUUGACCGACGCAUUUUACGAGACAAUACAUGCAGCAAUAUGCAGCCAGUGUGGCCGCAGCAGCGCAAGAAGGAAGGCUGAGGAAGCAGAGCGCACUACUGACCCGAAAUCUGCAACGCUAUAUAGCCCGCAUCCGAAGCCUAAUGCUUUGCAUGUGGCAUCAGAUACCCAUUGCAGCUGCUCAAGGCUCAAAAUGGCCGUGCCCGAACAUGAAUGGUGCUCACCUGCAUCGGUCGGCUCGGCUCGAAGUCAAGCCCCGGUGCACUUGCAAUUGACCGUGAUGUGGCCAUAGUAGCUCUUGACCGCACCAAGCACUCUUCGCGCGCAGAACUCGAUUCUGCUGCUAGCGCAAUUCUUUCGCUUGAUGGAGUUUCCUCGCGGUGCCCGGGAGGGAUUCGCGCUAGAAGCUGCUAGUUCGUGAUAGUGGUGGUGCUUGCCGCAGCGUUCAUGCGCAUGCGGUGGAAAUCGAGAGAGGUCGCGAACAGCCCUAGAAAUGCUCUUCUUUGCCGUCGAUAAGCUCAGGUGCUCGUAGCUAAGCAGUGGGCGUAAAAGCUGUUUGCGGGAUGUCUUUGCAUCUGUUGAUUGUGCAAUAUGAGCACAGCGCGAGAAGCUUUUAUCCGGUGGCGGGGACAGGGUCUCGGGCGCCCAUGCAGGCGACACGCGCCUAAUCCCGAGCCUCCCUCCUCGCCUUUACCUUGUCCCUGGACCCGCGCCAUCCGUGCCCCGCUGUUCACUUCCCUCGUUUCAUACCAGUUCCCCUCCCCUGCGUAGGCCGGUAACCCCUGAUCCCGCCGCUGCCAGGGAUGCAGCUGUGCAGGAUGAGGUUGACGGCUGUGGAUUGCAUUGGUUACAAGAGGGACCUGCUGACGCAGUUCACGAGCCAGUGACGUGUGGAAGUUGGUGUAGGUUGGCGGUGAUCCAGCGGGGUGGGUGCCGAUGUGCUAUAGUGGGCGCGAGGCUGUACACGUCAGGACCUGGCGAGUGUACUGCUAAAGCUGACUUUGUGAUGGCCCCCAAGCGUAGGUGAGGUAGGCGCACGGUGGUGACAAGGCAUGCGGCCAGUGGAACUGCCUUACAGUUACAGCCCGCCCAAGCGCGGUUGUUGCCCUGCCAUGAUUUCCGUGGAGUCUCUAGCUCCGGCAGGGACGGUCCCCAUCAGUUCCCGUAGUGGACCAUGCAUCCAGCCGCCCACACGUGCUCUCCGUUCGUCACAUACAGUACUCGAACUCCAAUGUCCACAGAGCGUGUGCGCGAAGUCCACACGCCACACACGCAAGUGGCAGCCGCCCGUCCUUGCACAGCAAGCAUCUCCGCGCACGGUCGCACGCUUCACUAGCCCCAACGAACCGCCUACCACAAAUCAAGUCACACCCACCUCAGCAUUAGGAGUGCACAUCCGCCUGUCGAAUGUCGGAUGAUGAUAGGGCAACAAGUAGGUCUAGAGAAAUGAAAGCUAGUAGGUCUACUGCACCCAUGCAUGGAUGGAAAGAAUCAAUGGACCUUUGGAUAUAGGAUCCGGCCUUCUCAAGGGUCCUCGCGCAUUUACUAAAGAGCCAAGGGGUCUAGUAUGUAAGAAGCAAUGCCAGUCUCAAGUCAAGCACACUGCUGCCGCUUCCUGGCAUCUGGAAUGCCGGAAGGGUCGGAGGAACUUGCACCCACAGAACGUACACGUCGUGUCACUGACAGCCCACUCGAGUCUUGUAAACAGUAGAAAUCGUGCCCGCUCCUGCAGCGAGCCAAGAUACGGUAACCUCGAUACUUCUUUGUGUCUCACCGCGGUACGCGCACAGACAUUAAUCUGCGGGCUCCCUCUCCGCACUCCUUCUGUCACUCCCGUGCGUCAGGUCUUCUCCGACGUCGCCUCCACUCCAUCUCCUACGUCCCAUGACUCACCUGUAGCCCCAGGCAGCCCUGCGUCCAUUGGCACAGCGCCCCUCGCCACCUGCCACCCUCUCGCUCAGCAAAUAAACGCACGCGCGAUAGCAAAACACCAGCAGUCCGUAGUAUGGCCAAGGGGGGCUGCCGGUUCCCCGGUCCCAUACAGUCACACAUACAUCUUAUUAAGAAAAAUCAGCAAGGUUUAUUUGGCGAGUCUCAGUAGAGAAAUAGACAUCCAUACAUCACCCAAUGCGCAUGGCAAUAUCGCACAGAGUGCUUGCUUGCGCAAGCAAUCCAGCAUCAAGUACGGCCUUUGACACUCCCGCUCGCUCACAUACGGUGUAAUAUCAGUACAGCACGGCAACACUCGCGCGAAUCAGUCCUGUGUCCUGCGGUAAACGCCGACUACCGUAGCACGCCCUGCUGUCGUGCUGACAAUGAGAAAUGUGCGGCGGCACAGCCCUGCUGGUUCACUUGAUAGUGAAUGGGCCCGAUCAGUAGCUAGUAGCGGCGAUUUGCCUAGCUGUCUAUACUUGCACGCAUACGCUGCGGGUGUGCCUCACAUACCAUAAUACCCAGUGCUGCUUCUUUCGCAUUUAACACACGCUCAGCAUGCCCUGCUGGCUCACUUCGAUACUGUGCCAUCCACACACGUACGUGUGACGAGCCCCUCUUGCGAACGGCCGUCGGCACCACAGCUGCGGCGGCUGCGGCUGCGGCUGCUGCUGCUCCUGCUGCUGCUACUGCUACUGCUGCAUCUUCAAGUGGCGAAGGCAGCAAGCCGCUGGCUGCUGGGCUCAUGCAGCUGACGGCGUAACACGGAAGCCAAACGGAACGGAGCGGCCCUUGCCGCUACCAGGCCGCCACCGCUGCCGGUGGCGGGAAGCAGCCGCACGCGCGCUCCAACGCGGCAAACUCCUCCAGCUCCCGCUCCUGCUCGGCCCACGCCGCCGCCGCCAGCUCGAUCGCCAGGCGCAGGCGCGAGGGCAUCACAGCUGACUGCCACUCAUCACCCUGCUGCACUGCCGCGAUUGGCGGAACGACACAGCUGCCCAUGCUGCUGCCGGCGGCGGUGCAGGCCUCCUUGUCAAUGCUCUGCCGCUCCGCUGCCACCUCCACCGCCUCCACCUGCUGCGGCGUCUCACUGCCUGCCGCCGCCGCCACCCAGACCAGACUGCAGCUGCUGGCGCUGCGGCUGGUGCGGGCGCUGUCCGGCACGGCGCAGCAGCACGAGCUGAGCGGCGAGUCAGGCGCGUCCGGCCGCUCAGUGACAACGGCCACCUCCUGCUCCGCUUCGGCCGCCGCCGGCACGCACUCGCCCUGGGCCUCUGCUUUCCCCAUCGCCGCCAGCUCCGCCGCCAUCCAGGGCGACAGCGAGGCGAGGUAGGCGCCGAAAUCGUCGGCCUCCUCCUCCUCGACGUCAUCCGCCCAGCGGCGGCCGCUGGGGGUGCCGCCGGUGCCGCUGGCAGAUCCCGCCGCCGCCUGCUCCGCCAGACCCUCCUUCAACCAAUCUGCAAGCGACCCGAGGUCGAGCUCCUCCUCCUCCUCCGCCUCCUCGUGCGCCUCGACUUCAUCCGCCCAGCUACCGCUCGCGCCACCGCUGCUGCUAAUGCUGGCGCGAGGAGCAAUGCUGCUGCUGCUACUGCUGCUGCUGCUGCCGUCAGACUCUGACGCUGCCGCGGGCGCGGCCGGUGCGGCUUCCGCCUGCUGCUGCUCGGCCGCCGCGAGCUCCGCCAGUCCCUGCUUCACCCAGGGCGUCUGCUCAAAGAGGUCGCUCAGGUCGAGUCCGUCAGCCUCAUCCUCAUCAUCAUCGCCCCAUCGCGGCGUGGUCGAGCUGCGGUCGACGGUGGAGGUGGAGAUGGGGCUGGCAGCGGCGGCGGGCUUGGUCGGGGCGGCGGGCUUGGUCGGAGCCGCGAGCUUGGGCACCUUGGGCAGGCCGGGCGGCUUCUGCAGGCGCCAGUGGUUGUCGUAGGCAUGGCAAAGCUGGCAGGGGGCGCUCCUGCAGCCAGCAGAUAGGCUGGCAUAGCACCAGCGGAUGCAGGACUUGUGGGGAAAGCAGCAGGCGCUGGGGCCGGGCUCCUGCUGCUCCUGCUGGUGGGCGGCGGCGGAGGGCUCGCUCUCAUCAGAGCCAUGGCCUUGGCUGCGGGGCGUGUGGCGCCAGGCGUCCUGUGCAAACGAGAUCGGGGGAAAGGAUAGAUGGGGGCGGACAAGCCGUGAGUGCACGGGACGAGGACAAGGGUCGGGGCGCAGAGGGCGGGAGCAAGGGCCGGGGGUCAGGGGCUCGAGCCCCGGCAAAAAAAUCAGGCACACACCGGAAAGGCACGCGCUUUCGGUCAAAGCUGUUGACCGACGCAUUUUACGAGACAAUACAUGCAGCAAUAUGCAGCCAGUGUGGCCGCAGCAGCGCAAGAAGGAAGGCCGAGGAAGCCGAGCGCACUACUGGCCCGAAAUCUGCAACGCUAUAUAGCCCGCAUCCGAAGCCUAAUGCUUUGCAUGUGGCAUCAGAUACCCAUUGCAGCUGCUCAAGGCUCAAAAUGGCCGUGCCCGAACAUGAAUGGUGCUCACCUGCAUCGGUCGGCUCGGCUCGAAGUCAAGCCCCGGUGCACUUGCAAUUGACCGUGAUGUGGCCAUAGUAGCUCUUGACCGCACCAAGCACUCUUCGCGCGCAGAACUCGAUUCUGCUGCUAGCGCAAUUCUUUCGCUUGAUGGAGUUUCCUCGCGGUGCCCGGGAGGGAUUCGCGCUAGAAGCUGCUAGUUCGUGAUAGUGGUGGUGCUUGCCGCAGCGUUCAUGCGCAUGCGGUGGAAAUCGAGAGAGGUCGCGAACAGCCCUAGAAAUGCUCUUCUUUGCCGUCGAUAAGCUCAGGUGCUCGUAGCUAAGCAGUGGGCGUAAAAGCUGUUUGCGAGAUGUCUUUGCAUCUGUUGAUUGUGCAAUAUGAGCACAGCGCGAGAAGCUUUUAUCCGGUGGCGGGGACAGGGUCUCGGGCGCCCAUGCAGGCGACACGCGCCCAAUCCCGAGCCUCCCUCCUCGCCUUUACCUUGUCCCUGGACCCGCGCCAUCCGUGUCCCGCUGUUCACUUCCCGCGUUUCAUACCAGUCCCCCUCCCCUGCGUAGGCCGGUAACCCCUGAUCCCGCCGCUGCCAGGGAUGCAGCUGUGCAGGAUGAGGUUGACGGCUGUGGAAGUUGGUGUGUGAUGGGACAGGGUUCAGGCAGGUUGGCGAGGUCCCAUAGGGUGCAGCUGACGCCCGUACCCCAAGCAGACAGCAAACAGUUUGCAGCGGCAGAGCAGGAGUGCAUGGCUGGUCGAACGCCGGAGUUACUGUACCGACAAGUUGCUGGCUGGCUGGAAGUUGGUGUAGGUUGGCGGUGAUCCAGCGGGGUGGGUGCCGAUGUGCUAUAGCGGGCGCGAGGCUGUACACGUCAGGACCUGGCGAGUGUACUGCUAAAGCUGGCUUUGUGAUGGCCCCCAAGCGUAGGUGAGGUAGGCGCACGGUGGUGACAAGGCAUGCGGCCAGUGGAACUGCCUUACAGUUACAGCCCGCCCAAGCGCGGUUGUUGCCCUGCCAUGAUUUCCGUGGAGUCUGCUAGGCAGUCGGCAGGGACGGUGCCCAUCAGUUCCCGAAGUGGACAAACCAUGCAUCCAGCCGCCCACACGUGCUCUCCGUUCGUCACAUACAGUACUCGAACUCCAAUGUCCACAGAGCGUGUGCGCGAAGUCCACACGCUACACACGCAAGUGGCAGCCGCCCGUCCUUGCACAGCAAGCAUCUCCGCGCACGGUCGCACGCUUCACUAGCCCCAACGAACCGCCUACCACAAAUCAAGUCACACCCACCUCAGCAUUAGGAGUGCACAUCCGCCUGUCGAAUGUCGGAUGAUGAUAGGGCAACAAGUAGGUCUAGAGAAAUGAAAGCUAGUAGGUCUACUGCACCCAUGCAUGGAUGGAAAGAAUCAAUGGACCUGUGGAUAUAGGAUCCGGCCUUCUCAAGGGUCCUCGCGCAUUUACUAAAGAGCCAAGAGGUCUAGUAUGUAAGAAUCAAUGCCAGUCUCAAGUCAAGCACACUGCUGCCGCUUCCUGGCAUCUGGAAUGCCGGAAGGGUCGGAGGAACUUGCACCCACAGAACGUACACGUCGUGUCACUGACAGCCCACUCGAGUCUUGUAAACAGUAGAAAUCGUGCCCGCUCCUGCAGCGAGCCAAGAUACGGUAACCUCGAUACUUCUUUGUGUCUCACCGCGGUACGCGCACAGACAUUAAUCUGCGGGCUCCCUCUCCGCACUCCUUCUGUCACUCCCGUGCGUCAGGUCUUCUCCGACGUCGCCUCCACUCCAUCUCCUACGUCCCAUGACUCACCUGUAGCCCCAGGCAGCCCUGCGUCCAUUGGCACAGCGCCCCUCGCCACCUGCCACCCUCUCGCUCAGCAAAUAAACGCACGCGCGAUAGCAAAACACCAGCAGUCCGUAGUAUGGCCAAGGGGGGCUGCCGGUUCCCCGGUCCCAUACAGUCACACAUACAUCUUAUUAAGAAAAAUCAGCAGGGUUUAUUUGGCGAGUCUCAGUAGAGAAAUAGACAUCCUUACAUCACCCAAUGCGCAUGGCAAUAUCGCACUGAGUGCUUGCUUGCGCUAGCAAUCCAGCAUCAAGUACGGCCUUUGACACUCCCGCUCGCUCACAUACGGUGUAAUAUCAGUACAGCACGGCAACACUCGCGCGAAUCAGUCCUGUGUCCUGCGGUAAACGCCGACUACCGUAGCACGCCCUGCUGUCGUGCUGACAAUGAGAAAUGUGCGGCGGCACAGCCCUGCUGGUUCACUUGAUAGUGAAUGGGCCCGAUCAGUAGCUAGUAGCGGCGAUUUGCCUAGCUGUCUAUACUUGCACGCAUACGCUGCGGGUGUGCCUCACAUACCAUAAUACCCAGUGCUGCUUCUUUCGCAUUUAACACACGCUCAGCAUGCCCUGCUGGCUCACUUCGAUACUGUGCCAUCCACACACGUACGUGUGACGAGCCCCUCUUGCGAACGGCCGCCGGCACCACAGCUGCGGCGGCUGCGGCUGCUGCUGCUCCUGCUGCUGCUGCUGCUACUGCUACUGCUGCAUCUUCAAGUGGCGAAGGCAGCAAGCCGCUGGCUGCUGGGCUCAUGCAGCUGACGGCGUAACACGGAAGCCAAACGGAACGGAGCGGCCCUUGCCGCUACCAGGCCGCCACCGCUGCCGGUGGCGGGAAGCAGCCGCACGCGCGCUCCAACGCGGCAAACUCCUCCAGCUCCCGCUCCUGCUCGGCCCACGCCGCCGCCGCCAGCUCGAUCGCCAGGCGCAGGCGCGAGGGCAUCACAGCUGACUGCCACUCAUCACCCUGCUGCACUGCCGCGAUCAGCGGAACGACACAGCUGCCCAUGCUGCUGCCGGCGGCGGUGCAGGCCUCCUUGUCAGCGCUAUGCUCCUCCGCUGCCUCCUCCACCGCCUCCACCUGCUGCGGCGUCUCACUGCCUGCCGCCGCCGCCACCCAGACCAGACUGCAGCUGCUGGCGCUGCGGCUGGUGCGGGCGCUGUCCGGCACGGCGCAGCAGCACGAGCUGAGCGGCGAGUCAGGCGCGUCCGGCCGCUCAGUGACAACGGCCACCUCCUGCUCCGCUUCGGCCGCCGCCGGCACGCACUCGCCCUGGGCCUCUGCUUUCCCCAUCGCCGCCAGCUCCGCCGCCAUCCAGGGCGACAGCGAGGCGAGGUAGGCGCCGAAAUCGCCGGCCUCCUCCGCCUCAACGUCAUCCGCCCAGCGGCGGCCGUUGGGGGUGCCGCCGGUGCCGCUGGCAGCUGCCGCCGCCGCCUGCUCCGCCAGGCCCUCCUUCAGCCAAUCUGCGAGCGACCCGAGGUCGAGCUCCUCCUCCGCCUCCUCAUGCGCCUCAACCUCAUCCGCCCAGCUACCGCUCGCGCCACCGCUGCUGCUAAUGCUGGCGCGAGGAGCAAUGCUGCUGCUGCUGCUGCUGCCGUCAGACUCUGACGCUGCCGCGGGCACGGCCGGUGCGGCUUCCGCCUGCUGCUGCUCGGCCGCCGCGAGCUCCGCCAGUCCCUGCUUCACCCAGGGCGUCUGCUCAAAGAGGUCGCUCAGGUCGAGUCCGUCAGCCUCAUCCUCAUCAUCAUCGCCCCAUCGCGGCGUGGUCGAGCUGCGGUCGACGGUGGAGGUGGAGAUGGGGCUUGCAGCGGCGGCGGGCUUGGUCGGGGCGGCGGGCUUGGUCGGAGCCGCGAGCUUGGGCACCUUGGGCAGGCCGGGCGGCUUCUGCGGGCGCCAGUGGUUGUCGUAGGCAUGGCAAAGCUGGCAGGGGGCGCUCCUGCAGCCAGCAGAUAGGCUGGCAUAGCACCAGCGCAUGCAGGACUUGUGAGGAAAGCAGCAGGCGCUGGGGGCGGGCUCCUGCUGCUCCUGCUGGUGGGCGGCGGCGGAGGGCUCGCUCUCAUCAGAGCCGUGGCCUUGGCUGCGGGGCGUGUGGCGCCAGGCGUCCUGUGCAAACGAGAUCGGGGGAAAAGGAUAGAUGGGGGCGGACAAGCCGUGAGUGCACGGGACGAGGACAAGGGUCGGGGCGGGAGAAAGGGCCGGGGGUCGGGGGCUCGAGCCCCGGCAAAACAGUCAGGCGCACCGGAAAGGCACGCACUUUCGGUCAAAGCUGUUGACUGACGCAUUUUACGAGACAAUACAUGCAGCAAUAUGCAGCCAGUGUGGCCGCAGCAGCGCAAGAAGGAACGCCGAGGAAGCCGAGCGCACUACUGGCCCGAAAUCUGCAACGCUAUCUAGCCCGCAUCAGAAGCCUAAUGCUUUGCAUGUGGCAUCGGAUACCCAUUGCAGCUGCUCAAGGCUCAAAAUGGCCGUGCCCGAAUAUGAAUGGUGCUCACCUGCAUCAUUCGGCUCGGCUCGAAGUCAAGCCCCGGUGCACUUGCGAUUGACCGUGAUGUGGCCAUAGUAGCUCUUGACCGCACCAAGCACUCUUCGCGCGCAGAACUCGAUUCUGCUGCUAGCGCAAUUCUUUCGCUUGACGGAAACUUUUCCUCGCGGUGCCCGGGAGGGAUUCGCGCUAGAAGCUGCUAGCUCGUGACAGUGGUGGUGCUUGCCGCAGCUUUCAUGCGCAUGCGGUGGAAAUCGAGAGAGGUCGCGAACAGCCCUAGAAAUGCUCUUCUUUGCCGUCAGGUGCUCGUAGCUAAGCAGUGGGCGUAAAAGCUGUUUGUGAGAUGUCUUUGCAUUUGUUGAAUGUGCAAUAUGAGCACAGCGCGAAGCUUUUAUCCGGUGGCGGGGGCAGGGUCUUGGCGCCCAUGCAGGCGACACACGCCCAAUCCCGGGCUCCCGACACACUCCACGCCACCCUCCUUGGCUUUGGAGCCCAGCGCCUACUCGCUAUGCUCGUUGUGUUUCAGUCUUACCGCAAGGCGUCUAGCCAAUAAUACUGCAACAACAUCUGUGUUGGGGUUCGGGCACCGGGGUUCGGGGCAAGUUGGCAUGCCGCCACUCCAUACGUACUAGCCAGUCUUCUGCUCUCCUUCAGCAUUCUGAGCACCUUGCCUAGAGUAACCAACACUUACGAUGCCGGUACAUGAUGACGGCGAACCUGCCGAGCAUUUUGAGGCGCGAAAGAAAGUACCAUGGCUAAAACGAUACUUCUGUAAGCUAGCACAUGACAAUGCUGCCGAAGUGGACCUGGACUUGGUUGAGCAGCUAUGGAACGUCGUGGAAAACCAGUUUGACUUCUCGGAACCGGGUGACCGUGCCCUGCUUGCUGCUCUCGUUUCGGCCCACCUUUGGGCCGCGAGAGCGCUGUCAGCGGCAUCUCGGGAAGCCUGGCACGACGCAUACAUCACUUUCAUUGUCACCGCGGAGCAGUUCCAGCACAAGCUCGACACCACCCGGGAUAGCGCAGUGCACGACAGCAGGCUAUGGCUGCAGGGCGCGCGCGCCGCCCUGGCGCUCUUGCGAGCUGACGUGCUAUGCCUGUACGCCGGCUACGCCGCUCGGAUUGCCGAGCACGCCGAGGCGGGGCCUGCGAGCAGCGCGGCCAGCAGCGCCAGUGGGGUGGCGCGGCCGACACCUCCCAGCUGCCGUGUCACCCAACUCGAGCGGGACAUACGGGUCUUGGGUGGCAUGCUGCAAGUCCUGAAGCUCCUGAUAUUGCAGCAUGCCUCAAUCGGCCAUCCGUGGAGCGUAAUACCGGUGAAGCCGGGUGAAAGUCUCGAGCCCGAAGCUGAGCUGGUGGCGGCCCUGGCUCGCAGCCAGGUGUUAGAGCACAUGGCGCGAGCCGUUCUGUGCCUGGCGGCGGCGCUGGCGGCGGCGCUGGCGCCGCCCGAAGCCGCUGCAGCCCCUACCUCGCCCGCAGCAGCAGCAGCAGCAGCAGCAGCAGGGGCGCCCGCAGCCGCAGCGCCCGCAGUGACGCCUGCUGCGUCGGCGCGGCCUUCGGUCCGGGAGCAGUGGCGGCGGGUGGUCUACGGCUCGGAGGCCGGCGCCGGCGGCGCCGCGCAGGCGUGGGGCGGGCUGAGCGGACUCGUUGUGGACCUUUGCCAGGAGAUCAAAACGUUGCUGGAUGACGUCCCCUGGUACGGCACGAGCUUGUGUCGAGAAGAUCCGGUCACUGACGAAAGCACCGGCGGUGGCAACAGCGGAAGCGGCGGCGCGCCCAGCAGCGGCAGCAGCUGUGGAAAGGCAGCAAAAGGCGGCGCCAAAAUGCCAAUGCCGGUGCCGCCUCCCGACCUUCUCGGCGGCCCCGGCGUUCAGUGCUUCCAGCUGUGGGCCUUGCUGUGCGUACGCCAGGGCGCAGCAGGCACCGCAGGCACGGCCGCCGCCGGCGGCGCCGGCCAGCCCGCACCUGCUGCUGCCGAUGCACCGCCGCGCAGCACGACCGGCGGCGCGGCCGCCCUGCCCGCCGACACACGGCGGCUCCCGGCGGGGCUGGUGCGGGCGCUACGACCGGAUCUGGAUCCCAGUCUCACAGCCGAGCGGCGGGGCUCACAUGACGCCGUGGCUGCAAUCCUGUCGGGCGCAAUGGUGGUAUUCCUCAAGGCUCCGGAGAUCGUUGCCGACGCCCCCAUCACGGCCGGCGCUGCGGGCUGGCCAGACGCAUGGCAGCAUCGGCAGACGGCGCAGCUGCAUUGUCAAAACAGCGCGGCAAGGCACUCGGGCAGCAGCGGCAGCAGCAGCACACUGCCCUGCCCGCCUGUACACUUGUACGACGCCAUGCUCGCCUGCCUUCCGCGCCUGUGCCCGGCCUCCUCGCCGUCACAGGAGGUCAUGAAUGCGCUCCACUUGGUAACUGGGCGUUUGCUGUCGCUGCUCGGAAGGCUGCCGCCGCGCCAGGCAGCGGCGCGGCUUCCGGGGCUCUGGCGGGCCCUAUUAGCGCCAGAGGCAUUCCUGGACCUUUGGAUCCAGCCCUGGAACACCGUACAAGCCCUCGGACUGCUGCGGGGCUUUCAGCCGCAGGAGCCGCCGGCGCAGCCGCAGGAGCCGCCGGCGCAGCCGCAGGAGCCGCCGGCGCAGCCGCAGCAGGCAGGGGCGCAGCCGCAGGAGCCGCCGGCGCAGCCGCAGGAGCCGCCGGCGCAGCCGCAGGAGCCGCCGGCGCAGCAGCAGGAGCCGCCGAAGCAGCAGGCAGGGGCGCAGGAUGAUGCGCCUGUGACGGCCGCAUCAGCCGCGGCGGCGGCAGGCAGUGGCGCUGCCGCCGCGGGCGCGCAGCCCUGCCCCUACAGCCUGCGUUGCGCGCUCGACGCGGGGCUGGUGCCGGCGCUGGAGCGGCUGCUGCGGCAGCUGCAGGACCCCGCCACCGCUGCGCCCAGCGCAGCCGACAACGACGACCCCUACAAGAGAGCCACGUCAUCGGUGCUGUACCCUGCCAAGAUUCUGUUACGGAACUCGGGCGUGUGGCCGGCGCUGCUGGCGCACGGCUCCGUGCCGCAGGUGGCGGCGCUGGUGGCGACGUUGGCGAGCACCGCGCGUGCCCUGUCGCGGCAGAGGCUGCCGCCGGCGCCGGGUCCCGGGGCUUCGGAGUAUAAGCAGGAGCAGUGGAAGUCGCUCACCACACAGGUGCACAAGUGGUGCGAGCUGCUGGCGGCGCUGUUGGAGCAGGCGGCGGACGUGCACACGCACGGCCCGGGACAGCAGCAGCAGCAGCAGCAGCAGCAGCAGCAGCAGCAGCAGCAGCAGCAGCCCUCAAAGCAACAGCCCUCACAGCAGCAGCCGACACAGCAGCAAGAAGGGGAGCAGCUACAGGCGCCCGCAGCCGCUGAGGCCGCGGCGGCUGUGGCUGCCUGCAGUCAGGACAAAAGCGCUAGCGGGGGCGAGGCCAGUGGUGAUGGCAGCAGCAGCACAGCCAGCAGUGGGCCUUUCUGGCUCAACACGGCGAAGAGUUGGCGGGGCGAGGGCCCCCUGACGCUAGAGCUCUUCGCAGCAGCAGGCGGCGUGCCACUGGCCGGCUCGGCGGCGGCGGCGCAGCAGGCGCUGCUUGCCUCCUUCGCGCUGCAGCAGUGGCUGCCGCUACUGCUGGACUGUGCGGUGCGUGUCGUGGCGGAGUGGUGCCCGCAGGACGCCGGGCAGGAAUGGUGCCGGGCGAACUUUGUGAAGCCCGCUGCGCCCCACUACCAACUGGUCAUGAAGGUCCUGCAGCUCGCCACCGCUGCCGCAGCCGCCACAGCCGCAGCCACAGCCACAGCCACAGCCACAGUCGCCGCCGCCACCACCAACGCAGCCGCCGCAACCGCCGCCGCCAAUGCCGACGCCGCCACAACUGCUGCUGUCGCCGCACAAGGGACCAUGGCGUUCGGCGCGCCGGCACACGCCGAGGAGGCUGGGCCCAGCCCGACGGCCGCCGCCAGCACCGGUGGUGCUGCGGGUGGCGUCGCUGACAGCGCCAAGAAUGAGGCAGGGCCGCCUUCUGCUGGUGCUGGUGCGGGGGCGUCGUCGGUGGAAGCGGCUGCUGUGCCGGGAGUGGUGGCCGCGCUGCGGGCGGCAGGCGGCGGCAGACCUGUGCCUGGGCCAGCAGCGGCACCGGCGGAGACGCGCACCUGCACUGCUGACGCUGGCUGGCGGCAGCAGCAGCAGCAGCUGCAGCAGGCGCUGGUGCUGCUGCUGCUGGUGCUGCCCGUCCGCCGCGGCUGCUCUCUAGAGCCGGAGCUGGAGGCGGCGGUGUUGGACCUACUGGAGGCGACACUGGCUGCGGAGCCCGCUGAAGCAGUCCGCGUGGCGAAAUGGUUUGGCACCGGCGCCGCCUGCAGCGGCGCUCAGCACGCCGGCUACCGGAACGUGCGGCGCCUGCUGCGGCCGAUCACGGCGCAGCACGGCCGUGCCGCGCUGAUGGCGUUCCUGGACGCGGCGGCGGCCCUGGAGGAGGAGGAGGCGUGGACAGCGGAGCAGCACCAGCAGCAGCCGGGCGGCGGCGGCAGCAGCAGCAGCAGCAGUGGACAGCGGGGCUGCGUAGGGCAGGCUAACGCCCUCGGCCCCAAAUCGGUCCUGGCGUGUGCUCAAGGGCUGCGGCGGGCGCUGCUGGAGGACCCGGCCUGGCGGCGACGCUGCAGCGGCGGCGGCGCUACCUGGCUGCUGCCCGCGGCGGAGGUUCAGGCGGGGCUGCUGAAGGCGGGUGUGGGCGUGUGUGGCAGCCUGCGUACCGCGGGCUGGUGUCAUGCAGCAGCGGCGCCGGCAGGGGUGGCCAGGCUGUGCGGCAAUCCGGGCUGCAGCAGCUGGGACGGCCCCACGGCGCUCAUUGGCACGGGCGGCGGCAAGACGUGUGUGCGCUGCAGGGCGGUGACGUACUGCUGCGGCGUGUGCCAGCUGGAGCACUGGAUGGAGGAGGGGCACAUCAUGGCCUGUGCCAGCAUCAAGGCGGCGCGGGAGGCGGCGGAGGCAGCUGCGGCACGAGCGGUGGAGGCGGGGUCAUAGCGGGCAUCAUGUGUGGUACAGGUCGCACCGGGAAACCAGCUUGGCACGUGGGGGUGAGGCGGGCACGACGAAACGAUGGUGCUGCUUGUGGGACGUGUGAUGGACACAAGUUGGUGGUCAUGGCUGGACGCGCUUGGGUUGCAUGGCGAAGCGAAGCGCAGCGGCGGCAUCUUGUUAUGGUGAGAUUGGACACAGCUGCAACCCCCGCGAGGUGAUGAUGAUAUUAGCUCGGUGUAUUAAGCUACUAAGCUAGAAGUGCGGCAUGUAUCAGGAGUGCGGCAGAAGUGCGGCAUGUAUCAGGAGUGCGGCAAGCAGGACCGGCAAGCAGGACCGACAUCACUUGCCCAGGCGUAGUGCAGCAGGUUGCGAGGGCGUGAGAAAGUAGAGGUGCGCUGGUGGGGUAGUGGGCGGCGGUAGUCGCUGGAGGGCGGCGUGAUGCGCUGUGGCUCAGGAGGUUGCUGAUGCACUGCCAGAGCCUUUUGUGGUGAUGACGCGACUGCUAUGCAGGUGGUGGCUGUUGUGAUGUUGCAUCGACGGUUGAGUCGGCAGUUGCGCCCUGUUGUACAGAUGUGCAUGUGGGCCGUGACGAGUGUGUGGGACUCAGCGAUUACCACAUCGUAUUACACCGUGCGAGCGGCCAAGACCGAGAAUCCAUCCUUUGUCAGCUGCCUGACUUUCCCCUGCCUGUCUUUCCCCCAGCCAACCAUGCCAGAAGCCAGGUCACGGAGCGCCUUCCAGUCCAGCCUACGCGCUGCUGGCCAGAUGCAACGCCACACACCAGCCAUUGUCACACUGUCGCCCGGCCAUUGUUUUGCUGCACGCCGUUGCAUUACGCUAGUGCUCGUCUACACAGCUCAUCCGUGGACGCCGGUCGACUGCCUGCAGGUGCGCAUCGGCUAUGCUAUCCGCGCGGUGUGGCGUCGCAUUGAGUCUGUGUGGUGCUAUCGCCUUGGCCGGGCGCCCGGAGCGUGAGGAAUGCGCGUCAGCAAAACAUCGACACAACCUGCCAGCUACCGUCGGUACAGUAACAGCGCGCGAACGACGCACCAAUGCCUUGUCCCUUCUUGCUACGCAUUUAUGUGGGCACGGGUGGGAGCCACACACAUCGGGACUACGCUUUCCUGCCCCUUGCCAUGUUCCAUCACGACCGCUGCGGCGCAUUUAUGCACGGUACGGUAGUGUACAAGUCCGCAGCCUCCACCACACACACACACGCGCGCACGUACUCGUGCUCAUGCACACACGCCCGCAACCCCUUUCCCCAUGUGCUUGCCGAAUACACACGCCACGUCGAUCGCCAUGCGCGCUGACCAACCCCCUGCUGCCGCCUACCUGUACCCCCUGCCCCCUGCGGCCCUGCCGACAUCCCGACAAGGCAACCAGUAACUCCGGCGUUCGACAAGCCGCGCACUCCUGCCCUGCCGUUGCAAAUUGUUUGCCAUCUUCUGGGGUCUGGGAAGCACCUGCACCCUACGGGACUUCACCAACCUGCCUUGACACUGUCCCAUCGCACGCCCACUGCGGCCCUGCCGACAUCCCGACAAGGCGACCAGCAGCCGCCCUGCCGUGCCGCCCACUGACCUCACGUAGUCACACACGUACCAUGGACGUGCCGUACCGAACUUCUAUCAGCAGGCCAGAACCGCAUUCGUUGCCCUGGCCCCCGCAGGGCAAGGAGCAGGGUAGCUUCUCCGGAGGCCCAUGACCGCUUAUUAACUCGGAUUCCGGGAGUCGUAAUUGCAUGCUGCUUAUUGCAGGGGCGCAUAGCCGCCCAGCGGCGAGCGCGAAUGAUGCCAAUGCCUGAUGCCCACAUUCUGUCUUUCUGCACACCUUGCGAAGGCAGCAUGCAAGAGCAAUACUGGGUUUUGCUCCUGUGCCUUGCGCCAACUCAGGACCGUGGCCCCUGCAACCACACCAACUGUCACACCCACUGCCAGUGACAACCACAAUUCUUGCUUAUCCUGUAUUAAAGCUUGAAAUUUGACCCACAAGCAUGUGUGGCCAGCCUCGAGUGCGGCAGGCCGACAUUUGCACACGCUCCCACCCUCCCUCCCCGUGCUUAGAGAUCAAGCUACGGUCACCAGCCAAAGCCAUAGACGCAGCAGCCUCGUCCGCCUCCCCUCCCAUGCGGUCCUGUGGAGCGGGGCCACGCGGCCCCUCGCCUGAUCCUGCCUCUCUUGUCCUCGCUGCUGCUGCUGCUGCUGCUGCCUCGUCCAGUCCUCCAGUCCUCCAGUCCUCCAGUCCUCCUCUCUGCGCCUGCGCCUCACCCGAACCUGAACGGGUUCAUGCAGCCGCUCUUCUCCAGCGGCGCGUCCAGGUAGGCCUCGUGCACCUUCUCCAGCAGCACCUGUGUGUGUGUAUACCAUAUGCAUGUGCAUAUGUGUGUGACAAAGCGUAUGUGUGUGUGUGUGUGUUUGGAAGGACGUGGGAAGCGGAUACCGUGUGCCCAUACAUACACACACACACACACACAGACACACACACACACACACACACACACACACACACACACACACACACACACACACACACGCGGACCAAAACACGUGCGCUCUCGCCCUACCUCCAGCGCCGGCUUGUAGAAGUCGGGGUCGCGGUCCUGCACGCGGCUGAUGAGGCGGAUGAUGUCCAGCAGCGCCACCUGAAGGGGGGGAGGGGGAGGGGAGGAGGAGUUACAUUCAUGAUAAAACAAAGGAGAAGCAAAGUUUCAGCCAGGGGGAGGGCGGCGGUGGGGCAGGGGCAGGGGGAUAGUAGGAGACGGAGGAGGAGGAGGAGUACAAAGACGAGGAGGAGGAGCGGGAGGAGGGGGAUGAUGUGCGUGCGGAGCGGGUGGAUAGGAGAGGAGGCGGAGUGUGGGGGAUAGCGGUCCAUGCAAGUUUAGCUGUCUGCCUAGCACAAGGAUCCAGUCCCAGCUGCAGCACAGCAGCACAGCAGCACAUGCGCAGCACACCACACACCAAACCCUUCAGCUCCAAGCCCACACCGAGACCAAGCUGCGCCACCCUCCCUCCGCCAUCCCUCCCCGCAGCCAGUGACGGGCCGCACCUGUCCGAAGAAGCCCGGCCGCGCCUGCGCCUCCGUCACCAGAUACCUGGGGCGUAUGCGCGCGCGCGUGUUUGUGUGUGUGUGUGUGUAUGUGUGUGUGUGUGUGUGUAUAUAUAUGUGUGUGUGAGUGCGUGUGUUAGAAAAGCACACGGGGAAAGGGUCGACGGGUAAUUGCGUACGGGCUCAUGUGUUUCAUCGGCACAAAGCGAGACGGCCUACACCGUGCGUGCCAAUGCGCAAGCAAGCAGCGCGAGCGAGUGUUUCACCUCUCUCCAACCCUUCCACUGCCGCCUGCUUUCCCCUUUCCCCACACUAGUUUGGUUUCGUUUGGGCUGAUUUUUACAUCCCCACCCACUUGAAGAAGGGCUCGUUGUAGGCGUGUGCCGCGGGGAAGGCCAGCCCAAUGGUUGUCAGGUCGUCACCGUCCAGGGCGCCGCCGCCGCCGCUGCUGCUGCUACUGCCGCCCUGCUGCUGCGCGGCUGCCAGCGCGGCGCGGCCCAGUGCCGCCAUGAGCGCGGCGUGGCGGUGGCCCACACGCAUGACCGACCUGCAUCCGGGCGGGCGGUUUCCAUCAUCCCAUGACAAAGAGCGGAAACAAGAAACAAGACAUGGGAUGGUCCGUGUAUAUGGUCCGUGUACAUGAACUGAGCAUACAUGAUAAGCCCGCGCGUUUCUCGUUUGGCGAACGCACAUGCAAAUGGUGACGGCGGCGCAGGCGGCCGGUGCUCUGGCUCGGGCUCUACUUCUUGCUGAACCUCGACUGCUGGGAGCCCCCUCCGGCCCGCCCUGCCUGCCUGCCUGCCUGCCUCGUCGUCAGCAACGAUUGCUGUUCCCCAAGAUUGUCUACCGUCUACCCGUCUACCAUUUCCUUGACUAAUCAUGAAUGCACGGCAGCCCCCUCCCCGUCACCACACCCACCACGCCACCGCCACCAGGUCUGACGGCGCCACCUCGCCUGCGCCCAGCCGCGGCGCCAGCGCUGUGCUGACCGCCUCGAACAGCGGCUGGUCGUAGUGCGGGAUGGAGGCGUACGACCACAGCAGCGUCACCAGCGCGCGAGGGGGGAAGGUGGAGGCCAGCGCGGGCUGCGGGUUCGUGGCGUGUGUGUGUUUGGGGGUUGGGGGAGGGGGGGGGGGUUUCAUUCAUGGUUGAAUAGUUGUAGCACAGUGGCACAGCAGGCGCGUCGUUGCCGGUGUGGGGGUGGGGGAAAAGGGGGGAGGGGACAAGGAGGGAUGAGGGAGGGGCUUUGCCAAGGGAUCGCUCGGGAAGGCACGAGUAAAGAGGGAGGUGGGCCCUACGCAUGCCGUGCCGCUUACACCCCACCCCGCGGCAGCUCCACCUACAUCCACUCCCUCCAGGCCCCCCACCCUCAACCGCCAUGUCACACACGUGUGGGUCUUGGUUUCUUGGGGGUUGGAACAAACUACCCCCCCCCCCCCGGAGCUUGACGCCGGACGCCGGACCGCGGACAUCGGUAACGCCGACUACUGUGUACCUUUGUACCUGGCUACGACUUCACUAGGUAUUUCUCAUGUUUCAUGUUUUACACCUCACCCGCCCAAACCCCCCCCCCCGUAGGCCACGCCCUCCUCCUCGCUCUAUUGCAUUGGGUUCGGUUUAGCUUGGGCUGGCAUCUACAACCCACCCCCACCGUGUCACGUAUGCGCGUCAGCAAGCUUCCAGCCAGCCAGCAACUCGUCGGUACAGUAACUCCGGCGUUCGACCAGCCGCGCAUCCCUGCCCUGCCGUUGCCAAUUGUGUGCCAUUUGUCGGGUUCUGGGAAUCAGCUGCACCCUACGGGACUUUACCAACUUGCCUUACCACUGUCCCAUCGCACACCCACCGUGUCACGCACACGGCCACGCACACACCCGCGCUGCCACUCACCCCCGCCCUGCUGAGGCAGGUGCUGGCGAUGCCGUCGAACAGGUCGCGGUCCCACACGCCGCGGUGGGCCUCGUCCGCGGAACGGAUCUGUGGCGGGGCGGCGGGGUGGCGGGGCGGUGGGGCGAUGGGGUGUGGGGCGAUGGGGUGUGGGGCGAUGGGGCGGUGGGUGAUGGGGCGUGGGGUGUGGGGUGUGGGGCGUGGGCGGUGGGCGAUGGGGCGUGGGGUGUGGGGCGGUGGGUGUGGGGUGUGGGGCGUGGGGCGUGGGGGGGUGGGGCGUGGGAAGAUGGGGAGGAAUGCGUGAAUCGUACAUGGCGGCGACAGCCGCCGCCGUGGCAUGAGGCGGCCAUGUACCGCCAGGAGGCUGCGCCGCCACUACCCCGUCAACACCGCAUCUCCCUCUCUCUCCCCCCAACCCACCGUGGCGUAGGCCCAGGCGAUGCGCGCCAGUGUGUUGCCGUCCAGUCCGCCCAGCCGAUCCAUCAGCAGUGAGCCUGGGGAGAGGGAGGGGCGGGGGUGGGUUGUAGAUAGCAGCCCAAACUACACCGAACCCAAUGCAAUAGAGCGAGGAGGAGAGCGUGGCCUGUGGGGUGGGGUGGGGGUACAUUCAUAUGGAGGAGGGAGCGAUUCAAUAAAUAAAGUCACAAGUACAUGAAAUACCGAUGGCCAGGGGGGGUUGUAGAUACCAGCCCAUACUAAACCAAACCCAAUGCAACAGAGCGAGGAGGAGAGCGUGGGCGAUGCUUGACAACGGAGUGGCACGCGACAAUGGUCCCCAUUCCCGAAAAGCACCGAGUUCCCAGGUUCCCAGCAAAACAUCCCGCAAACCGGUAGAAAGAAGGCGAUGAGCUCUUCGGUCUUGCGCGUGUGGGCGGUGCUGACGGUAGCCGCCUUCGAAAUUGCCACCCAGGCUCAAACACACGCACGCACGUUCUAUCUAGCAAUGCAGACUAGGCACACGUUGAAUACCCACCUAGAAGACAGGGGCGGUGGUUGGUUGGGUUGUUGUUGACGCUGGUGUACGGUACACAAGGUUAUACAUUAAAAUCCAAACCUAGAAGACUGCGGGGUGGGGUGCCUUCCCCUCCGUGUCUCCCCCGCCACCGGCAGCGAAGCCGUACCCGGCAGCAGCAUGCGGACAUCGCCCCCCUCGCGCCUUUAUCGUUUCGGCGCUGCGGUGUGCUCGUGCCAUGACCACACGCCCACGCCCCCCUCGCCCGUGAUGCGCAUGCGCCCCGACACCACCAGUUUUCCACACACACACACACACACGCACGCACGCACGCACGCACGCGCGCACGCACGCACGCACGCACACACACACGCACGCACAACACACAAACACACAGACACACACGCACACACACACACACACACAGAGACACACACACACAGAGACACACACACACACAGAGACACACAGGCUUACCCGCGGCGUCGAACAGCGGCCUGUAGUAAAGCGCCUCUGCCGCCAGCGCCCACACCGCCGCCGCCGCCUGCUCCGGCCCCAGCGCGGCGGGGUGGCCGGGCGGCAGCUGCAGCGCCGCCGCCGUCACGUCGGCCGCGUCGGCGAACAGGGCGGGCGCGCGGUGGCCCAGGGCGGACAGAGAGGACAGGAGCGAGACCAGGUCGCCGGGCGGGUACUGCGGCAGCAGCUCAGAAGCCUGUGUGGGGGCGGGGUGGGAGAAUGGUUGGGUUUGCAGACGUUGGCAUAUGUGGGCUUGGGGGUUGGCGGAGUGAUGAACGGUAAUUGGAAGGGGGCGGAGGUGGCAAAUUCCAAAUUUCAAGCCAAACAUAUGGGUAGGGGGAGCUGGAACUGGCCGGACGAUGAAUACUUGGCCUCGGCCGGGCAGGAGCGCCACAAUCGCACAACUCCCCAGCGGCCUUAUGCCGAGCUGCCCAUCCCCACCCCCUAUCCUCGCCACCCUGCCUUGGUUUAGUUUGGAAUUACCCAAGCCCCCUCCACCCCAUCUCCUCGGCCCUCCUCCCUCCCCCUCCCUCCCUCCCCCUCCCUCCCUCCCUCCCCCUCCCUCCCUCCCCCUCCCUCCCCCUCUUCUUCCCCUCCUACCCUGCUGCAGGCCGCCGCCAGCAUAUCGGUGGCGGCCAGGCCCGCCGCCGCGCAGGCGCCGGCCAGCCGCGUCAGGUCGGCCGGGCCCAGCGAGUCCACCUACGGCGGAGCGUGGGCAGGAACAUGUGUGCGUGUGUGUGUGUGUGGGGGGGGGGGGUGUAUAUUCGUGAUUAUGUAAGAAAUGAAGGUAUAGCCAGGAACAGUACGGUAGUAUAGCAGGCGCGUUGUGUGUGUGGAGGGAAGGUUGUAGAUACUAGAUACCCGCCCAAACUAAACCGAACCCAAUGCAGAAGCGGGGAGGCAAGGCGUGAUGGGGGGCGCAAGGUGACAGGCAGGCGCAACAGGGGCUGUGCGGAAGUCACAUGUUAGGCAUGUAGCAUACAUGGCCACUGCCGAGCACGGGCACGAUUGCCCCUUGCGGUAGCUUGUGGCACCUCCGCCAAACCUUUGAGAGACCCCAGAUCCCGACCCGAACCCCAACCCGGCCUCCUCCCGCCUCCUCCAGCCCUCCCGCCCCCCCUUCCACCACCCACCCCCGCAGCCUGCGCCUACCUUGCCGGUGAGCUCGGCGCAGCACAGCGCCAGGAAGUCCCGGUGGGCGCCGCGGCCGCCCGCGUCCGGGCCGCCAGCAGCGGCAGCAGCACUGCAAGUUCGGCAGGGCAGGUGGGGUAGGUGGGGCAGGUGGGGCAGAGCGGCGAGGUUUGGUAGGGCGUGCAGGCGAGGAAGCUGGGGAAGGAGUCAGGAGUACGGGGUGCGCGGGCUUGCACUAUCUCAUUACUGCAGGCGCAAUGCACCGCUGCCGCAGUCCGGCCGCGGCAGCUUGGUGGAGCACGGCCAAGCACGGCGAGGGGCGGGGCACGGCGAGGGGCGACUGCUGCGUGCCUCCCACGCAAACAGUGUGCCAUGGUGGCCCUGCCCUGGACCGGGUGUGCGCACUACUGCCUGCCAGGGCCGCCCUUCGUGCCCUCGCACUGCGGGGACACCCAGUGCUCCCCUCCCACACACAUACAAACACACCUUUGCCCGGUCCCGUUCUCUGCGGUCUCCUGCUCCCUAGCCCCCCCGCCCCCCUAGCCCUCAGAGCCCGACACGCCUCUCCCUCCCCAAUUUACUGCGCCCCACCCCCCACGGGCUCCCCACCCGCUCCCCACCCGCUCCCCACCGCCCCACGCACCUGUAUGCGGCGAUCAGGUCCACUAGUGCGGGGCCGUCGUACGCCGCCAGCCCCCCGCCACUGCCCACAACGUGACGAGCAGCGGCAGCCAGAAGAGCAGGGUCAGCGGCGGCGGCGGCGCCAGUUCCAGGUCCAAUGCCGGCGCCGAAAGCGCUCUCCAGCGACCUGGCGGGUGGCGAGCAUACGGAAGUGUGAGUGGCACAUGUGAUGCGGUGCAUUUGAGUGCGUGUCAGCAAGCCGUGCCCGCUGUGGUCCUCCUCCUCCUCCUCACCCUCCUCCUCCUCCUCACCCUCCUCCUUCUCUUCCUCCUCCUCCUCCUCCUCCCCCCCUCCUCGUCCCCCUCCUUCUCCUCCCCCUCCUCCUCCUGCUCCUCCUCGCACACGGCAGCUUGACCGCCCCGCCCCUGCUCCCACGUCCAACCCAGAUGGCGCCGUCCUGCCCUCUGGCCCAGACUGCCCCCUCUGCCCCCAUGGCCCGCACGGUCGCGGGUGCCGCACCUGUGCUGGGUGUGCUCUAGCAGCGCCGCUGCCAGCGCGGCGGGGGACAGGGAGGGAAUGCGCUCCAGCGUGAGCGGCUCCGCGACGCGCCGGUCGUGGCCGGUGCCGUUGGAGCUGCUGUUGCUGUUGCGCAGCGAGGCACCCGCGGCCUUGCGCGCGGGCCCGCCCGGCGCCUCGUGGAAGCUGACGACCUGCGUGCCGUGCGAUGAAAGAUUAGAGAGAAGGCGGUCAGCACCUGAUGCGAUUUGGAUUUACGCGACUCGAGGAGCCUCUGGCGGUCGGGCCCAGAAGCCCAACCGGUGGUGUUGCGCUUUAAUUGUCGGUCGGUUGAAAGGUCGCUCGCUCAGCAUAGUCCUCACCCGCAAGCAGGUACGCUGCGUGCAUCCACGCUGCAGCGCCGCUCGGUGCGCAGAGCGCCAGGCCCUGCGAGGUUUGUGCCGGAAGCAUGCAAUGCAGCUUCGUCAGGGUUCGUCCGCUUGGUUGACCGCAGGCCCAAGACACAAUUCGGCAUUACAGCAAGCUGUAGAGCACGUCAGAGGCCUGGCACGGUCUGCAUCCAGCUGGGGCUUGUCGCUUGUCGACAGGUUGGUCUUCUGUUUCGCAACUCCUACCAGUGUUUCAAACUGGCUGGCAUAAUUUCGAGUCUAGCAACACAUUGACGCACCGGCUCGCCACGAUCUCCAUUCGCGUGUGAGUCGAGUGUGUUGCAGAAGUUGGGACUUGCGGACGUGAGCCUUGGCACGCAGUAAGUGAAAAGUUACAAUUGUGUUUGCCUUUCUCUGGAGUCAACGUUGCUAUAAAUAUGAACAGACAGCACAACUGGAGAAAAGAAGGGCCAGAAUUGCGGAAGCCCCAUCCCGGCUGGCUUCCCUCACUUCGACCUGGCCAAAAUAGAAUGAGGUAAGCUUAAGUAGACGUAAAGCAUCAUCUACUUAUAACUUGGUCCCGGCGAUCGUGUCCGACGUCGACGGGUGACUUGGCUUCGGCAAUUUGUGCAUAUUUCGGCAGAAAGUCCAUUGUGCUCGAACGUCUUACUAUAACGUCACUUGCACAAUUGAUACUGUGACUGUCGCCAGAGUCGAGGGGCGCAACAUUGCCAUCGAGUUUGCGCACGCAUCCUAGCAGCGCCCCAGCCAAGAUGGCAGGGCACUUAACAGUAGAGGAACGGCUAGAAAAAGCGCGGUUAAUGCCGCGGGUGUCGCCUGAGCUUCUCCAGCUUGUGACGCAAACAGACAAGCUGCUUUUGUCCUCGCAUCAAUCAAACUUAAGUCAAGCCAUCAUCGCUGUGAGUAUGUGCUAUCGGCCUAGCGGGCUUUGAAGGGACCUGCCUAACUGGCGAAGGGAUGUCUGCUGCAUGCCGCUUCCAGCCGCACCCACUCGUCAGCUGCGGCCCGCACUGAAGCCAAGGAGGGUGGAACCCUACCCCCUUGUCCCUUUCGACCGGCCACUAGUCAUUCAAGGGGGCCCGUGUGUGUGCCGUGUGUGUUUGAGCGGGUGGGAGCCUGGGCGGAGCUCCAGCUCCAGGUCUGUGUCGUGUCAGGGGCGCCCUGCCGCGUUCAGCAUAGUCAUACACACACGCCGCCUGGCACCCGCACGCGACACGCAGCUGCAGCCAACAACGCACCUGCCCCCCUCCCUCCCUCUCCAACCCACACACACGCCUGCCUCCUAUAUCUCCCCCUCCCAACCACGCAGUGCCAGGAGAUAGCUCGCGAGGCGCCGGCGGUGGUGGUGGCUCUGCGCUGGACCGUGACGCUGGUGGACCUGCUGGAGAGCGACAUCGCGUGAGAGCGGGGGCCGGCCGGGGGGUGGAGGGGUUGUGUUGUGGAGGGGUGGGGGAGAGGCAUGUGUGUAUGUGUGUGCCGGGGGGGGGGGGUAGACGCUGGUGGACCUGCUGGAGAGCGACAUCACGUGAGCGCGGGGGAGAGGGGGUAGUGUACUUCAAUCCCAAAAAAAUGGAGAGGGGCGACGGACGGGCUAUACGCCAGAACCAAGCGAAGAGGGGGGGAUGCAAGGGUGAUAUGGAGGGUUGCAGAUCAGGGAGGCGGGAGCAGGGACUAAACGGGAGGCGGGCGCACAGAGAGCCACCCCCCACACGCUCAAGUCCGUCCCUCCACAGUCCACACACCCGCACCACCCCCACCUCCUCACCUCCCCCUCACCUCCCCCUCACCUCCGCCUCCUCGCCCCCACUCUCACCCAUCCCACCCCACAGCGAUGUGCGGCUGGCCGCCUGCAAUGCCCUGGCGGCCGUCAGUGUGGCGCAGGAGGGCCGCGACGCCAUCCGCACCGCCGGCGGGCUGCGGCCGCUGGUGCUGCUGCUGGGGGGCGGCUGCGGCGGCGGCGGCGCCGGUGCCACUACGGCGGCUGCGGCCCUGGCGCUCAUGAACUGCAGCGCCUGCGACGUGUGCAAGGUGGGGGUGGGGGGGGGGGCAGGGUGUGUGUGUGGAGGGAGGGGUGGUGGUAAAUGCCAGCCCAAACUAAACCAGACCAAGCCAGGAUAGCGGAGCACGGGCAGGGGCGACAGUGGCAAGCGGUCAUACUUAUGGGAGAGGGCCGAGGCGUCGUGGAGAAGCAGGGCGAGCGGCGCCGGCGAUUGAUGUCGCCGCCCGGGCUCGGGGGUACGGAGGGGUGUCAUGAUGUAACAUGAGCGCGUGCAGGGAUGCAGGGAUGGGCGGGGUGGGGUGGGGUGGUGGGUGGGGCCGCAAGGGUUCGCAGGUUGUGGGGGUGCGGGUCUGGGCCAAGGGACACGAGCUCUUGUUCCCUCACACGUGUCUGUGUGCCUGUAUGUUUGUGUAAAUGUCCCUCGUUCGUGCCCCCCCCCCUGUUCCCCAGUUUCUCCUUGCAGCGCGACUGUUUCCUUACGGGAUUGGUUCAAAGUUAAUCCCCUGUCCCCAAGAUGGUCUAACGUCUGCUACCUCCCUAACUAAUCAUGAUUGCAACCCCCUGCGGUGCGCAGGCAGCCAUCGCCGACUGCCACGGCGUGCCCAUGCUGCUCAACCUCAUCCGGGAAGCGGUGGCGCGGACACACGCCGCCGCCGCCACCACCGCCGCCACCACCUCCGGCGCCUCCUCCACCGCACCAGCGCAGCCGCAGUCCGGGACAGCGGCGGCGGGGGCCGGGGCGGGUGGCGCGGCGGCGCACGGCGGGGAGGGCCUCAAGACGCCGGGGGACUGCAGGGCGGCGGGGUAUGCGGCGGGCGCGCUCAUGAACAUGGGCGGGGUGGCGGACGUGCAGGACCGCAUGCUGGAGGUGCGGGGGGGGGGGCGUGUGUGUGUGUGUGUGUGUGUGUGUGUGUGUGGGUGUUUGUGUGUGUGUGUGUGUGUGUGUGUGUGUUUGUGUGUGUGUGUGUGUGUGCGUGGCAUGUGCGUUACGUGUAAGGGGAGGCAGGGGUUGUAGGCUUCUGGUGGAGGUGGGCGGCGGCGUGGGGCGGACACGGCGUUGGGCAGGCAGGGCUACAGGGGCUACGGGGCAAGUCAGGGGGAAGGCAGCAAAAGCCCCACAUGCCUGGGCGGGGGGGGGGGGUUGGUUGUAAAUACCAGCCCAAACUAAACCAAAACCAAUGAAAACGAGCGGAGCACAGGGGGGGUGGGGCUUCCGGAUGCUCGGGACAAGCUGUACGGUGUGGGGCGUGUGAGGCACUGGCGGAGGGGGAACCUCCCGUGGGAUGGCGUGGGGGGACGGGGGCGUCCGCGCCUUGGGUUUACCGCAUCCAUGCCCACACGCCCUGCUCCACCCUCGCAGGCGGGCGCGGUGGAGGUGUUUGAGGAGGCGGUGCGGGCGGCGGCGCCCGGCGACCUGGUGUCCACCCGCGCCCAGUUCUGCCUCAGCUGGCUGGCGGUGGGCAGCGGCGGCGCAGAAGCAGCAGCAGACGGCGAGGUGCAGCCGCCGCCGCCAGAGCCGCUCACGCAGCCGCCGCCGGGGGCGGGGCUGGUGCCGGGUGGAGGUGGGUGCGGAGGGUGGAGUGGGGUGGGGUGGGGUGGGGUGGGGUGGGGUGGGGUGGGGUGGGGUGGGGUGGGGUGGGGUGGGGUGGGGUGGGGUGGGGUGGGGUGGGGUGGGGUGGGGUGGGGUGGGGUAGGGUGGAGUGGGGUGGGCAGCGGGGCGGAAGGCGGAGCGGGAAGCGGGGCGGGAAGCGGAGCGAGGAGCGGGCGGGAAGCGGGGCGGGAAGCGGGGCGGGGCCGGUGGAGGAAGGGUGCGCUGAGGGUGCCUCCUCCAGCAGUCCAGCGCAUGGACCCCACCGCCAUGUGGGCGCUGGCCGCCUGCCCGGUUCCUCUGUGUGUGUCUCCCUCACUCCUCUUCCCCCACCAACCCAACCACUCCAACCCAACCAACCCAACCCAACCACUCCAACCAACCCAACCGCCCACAUGGCCCCGUGCAGGCGGCAGCGGCCGCCGGGUGCCUGUGGCCAGUCCGCGCUACCCCAGCGCCUCGGGCGCUGCCCCGCCCUCCGCCGCCGCAUCCCUCGGGGGGAGAUCCACGCCGUCGGGUGGCGGCGGCGCCUCCCGUACUGGCACGCCGCUGGCGGGCGCUGCAAAGCCGGCGGCGGGCUCGGCGCUGGCGGCGGUGGCGGCGGCGCGAGGCACGACGCCGCUGGGGGGCGGCAAGCCUGGAGCGGCGGCGGCGAGCGCGCGGUAGCAGCGGCGGGGGGUUGGUGCGGGGGCUGGUGCGGAGUGGGUUGGUGGGUUGGUAUUGCAGGCGGCGUGCGGUUGGGCUUGGGUACGGGACUGUCGACUGUGUGGUUUUGGUCACGCAACAGGAGCGGAUGCUGCAGGCGUUGCAGCGGCGGCUGCAGCUGCUGUAACAGUUGCAGCAGCAGCAACGGGACUGGGUGGUGGUGAUGGCGGGUGCGGGUGGGGUCGGCUCAAGCGGCGGAGCAGGAUACGGUAUGCAUGGACGGGACGGGUGAGCGCAACGAUAGGGCGCGAUAGGGCGCGAUAUAGGGGACCCAUGCAUGCACACUGUCUACUCGAGCGCUGAUAGCUUAGGCCUGAGCACUGGCGCAUGCACGUUGCGGCAGCAUUGUUGGCUAAGCUGGCUCCUAGGGAUGUGAGGAGGUGCGAGUGAAGGACGACGCGAGGGUAGUGGGUUAUCUCUGGCCGGGUGUUUUGGGUAUGAGGUACGAGCAUGGGUGCAUAAGGUUUCGACUUGGCUUCGACUCAUGUGCGUAACACUAUGAAGGUCGGCAGCCAACCAGGGGGCGGGUGUUGUUUCUCUGGGUCGCAGAUGGCCCUUCGCGGCGUGGGUACGGCGUGCCCCCGCUUGUCGGGCUGUCCCUUCAAUUGUAAUCCGCAUCCAUAAGGUUUGUAGGUGCCCAAAUGGUGGCUCACAAUAAAGUGGCACGUGUCGGUCGUGCGAAAUGAGGACUGUAGCAGGUCAUAUGGAGGCGCGGCUCGAGGAUUGAGGCAGCGGUGCGAGCUGGAGUCAGGUGUGCGCGCGCGCGCGCAGGGGGUUUACGCCACACGGAUGGUCAUGCAAACUGACGCCAGUCGCUGUAUCUUGUUACAAUUUAAGUUGAUUACCUUGAACGGACUCGUAGUGCAUUAUAAGGAUAGCCCGCACAGUUUAGCCCAAUAACUGAGCAAACGCAACUUUCUCGUUCGGUCGCUCUAACUUGUUGCAUUAACAAAGAUGGGAUUCCUGCGCAAUAUGAGCUUCAUACUUUACGGCUCCAAACACUUUGGGAAACAAGGCUACGCUCGCGCGAAGGCAGGAUGGGACGACAGGUGUGGAAUCCUCUUGGCGCUUGGACCGCCGGGCAUCGCGAAUGAUAGCUCCUUAAGCCUACAAAAUGAUGGCUCUAUACUGCUGCCGGGGCCCGGCUGCGGCCCUUCGUGACCACGCAACCAGGCUCGGCAGUGCCGCUCGCACGACUCCUCCCAGCGCGUCGCACCUGCUCGCUAGCCCCGCACCCCCCAACUCUCAAACCCCCCAACCCCCCGCACUCCGCCCCAUACAGCGUCAUGUCCCGGCGCCUGGACGGCAAGGUGGCGAUGGUGACGGGCGCCAACCAGGGGCUGGGCUUCGUGACCGCGCAGGUGCGGGCUGCGGGCUGCUGCUGUGCGCGCACUGCAUACGGUUCUUGCGUGGGGCCUCCGCAGCGUGUGUUCUUGCGGUGGUGCCUCCGCAGCUCCGCCCCGCCGCCACACAAGCAUUGCUGCGGUAGAGCCGUCUUGCGCGGCCACACCAUGCAAACCGGGCCCGGUGCACCAAACACACACAACCCUAGUCUCCUUCCUCUCACCUCCCACUCCUCUCACCUCCUCUCACCUCCUCUCACCUCCUCUCACCUCCUCUCACCUCCUCUCACCUCCUCUCCCCUCCUCUCACCUCCUCUCCCCUCCUCUCACCUCCUCUCACCUCCUCUCACCUCCCUCUCACCUCCCACUCCUCUCACCUCCUCUCACCUCCUCUCACCUCUUUCCCCCCCCUCUCUCCCCUGCCUCAGGAGCUGGCCGCCCGCGGCGCCACCACCUACAUGGUGUGCCGCCACCCCGGCCGCGGCCAGGAGGCGGUGGAGCGGGUGCGCGCCGCCACGGGCAACAAGGACGUGCACCUGCAGGUGAGUGGGUGGAGUGGGGGUGGGGGUGGGGGUGGGUUUGGGAGGGUGGGAGGUUGGCAGGGUGGGAGGGUGGGAGGGUGGGAGGGAUGGAGGGUGGGUGAGUGGGUGGGAGGGAGGGAGAGGGUGGGUGUGGUGGGAGGGUGGGAGGGUGGGUGUGUGGAUGGGAGGGUGGGAGGGAGGGAGGGAGGGAGGGUGGGUGGGUGGGAGGGUGGGUGGAGGGUUUGGGAAAGUGCGUGUAUGUGGNNNNNNNNNNNNNNNNNNNNNNNNNNNNNNNNNNNNNNNNNNNNNNNNNNNNNNNNNNNNNNNNNNNNNNNNNNNNNNNNNNNNNNNNNNNNNNNNNNNNCCAGUUGCCCACCACCCCCACCCAACCCCAAAUCCACUACCACAUACACCGCCACCACCUCCCCCCUGCACCCCCGACACACCACACAAACCUCACACCCUGCACCCCCGACACACCACACAAACCGCACACACACAACACACACAUACACACAUUCCAACGCACACCCCCACAGGUGUGUGACGUGUCCAGCCUGGCGGCGGUCAACGGCCUGGUGCGGGAGUGGGAGGCGGCGGGGCGGCCCCUGCACGUGCUGGUCAACAACGCCGGAAUCCUGGUGAGGGGGAGGGAGCGGGGGACGCGGGGGAGCGGGGAGGCGGCGACGAUUGCUGCUGUGUGUAUGUAUUUGUGUGUGUGUGUGUAUAUGUUGGGGGGCAUGCCGUAUGGUGUUUUGCUUUGCGGGUGGCUCCGCCCAGGCACACAGCAGCCCACCGGCCGCCACCCUGCCCUUUCGGUCUGUCCACAUCCACACAUCCGCCUGCACGUCCCUCCCCUGUCCCCCUCCCUCGUCCCUCGUCCCUCCCACCCUCAACCCCGCAGGUGCACGAGUAUGCGGCCAGCGCGGACGGCCACGAGUCCACCUUCGCCACGCACACGCUGGGCUCCUUCGCGCUGACGUGGGGUCUGGGCCGCCUGCUGGCCGCCAGCCGCCCCGCGCUGGUGGUGUUCGUGAGCAGCGGCGGCAUGUACACAUCGCAGCUGGAGGUGAAUUUGGAGAGGGGGUCGCAAUGGGGUGGUGGGGGCGGGUGACGAGGGGGUGUAACGUGUGUGUGUGUGUGUGUGUGUUUGUGUGUGUGUAUAUGUGUGUGUGGAGGGGGUGUGAAAGGUUGCGAAGGGCGCGUGUUGAGCGGCGAGGCGGAGUGGCACGGGGCCGGACGGAGCCAGCACGGACUGCUGGACUGUCCUGCGGUUUUCCUUCACUUCCCUUCUUUCCCUUUUGCUUCCCUUACACGUCAGCACACGCACACACAAAAACCCUCACUCUCCCUCCCUCACUCCCCCUCAGGUGAAGCACGUGGCUAAUCAGGACAUGGCCCCCAAGUCCGCACCCGGCGGCGGCGGCGGCGGCAAGUUUGACGGCACGGUGGCCUACUCGCGCGACAAGCGGCGGCAGGUGGCGCUGGCGGAGAGGUUUGCGGAGCUGUGGGCGGACAGCGGUGAGCGCAGGAGGAGCGUGUGCGUGUGUGUAUGACGCGUGUGUGUAUGUAUGUUGGAAGUCCGCCGGUGUAUGUGUGUGUGCGUGUGUAUGUGUGUGUGGGGGGGGGGAGUAGGAUUCAAACAUAUGCGUGCGAGCGGCAUUGAUUGGGUUAAUGAAAAUUGGGUGCGUGGGGGUCGAGGACCAGGACCGCGUCCCCCCCCAAGGACACAUCUGGCGCAGAACCCCAAAAGCCCCGUACCCCACAACCUCCCAACCCCAACCUCCCAACCCCAACCAACCAACCCCCACAGGCGUGACCGUUGUGUCGAUGCACCCUGGCUGGGCGGUGACGGAGGGCGUCAAGAAGUCCAUCCCCGGCUUCUACAACUUCUACAAGGACAGCUUCCGGCAGGUG
rnacentral:lncRNA from 1 species